GAUGCUCCAUCGUCGGUGGUGUGUUACAUGCGAGAAGCGAAUGUUCCGGAAGACAUCGCUAGGAAGCACAUCAAGGAAUUGAUAAACCAGGAAUGGAAAAGCAUCAAUGCUUAUUGCUUCAGCAAUGCCGAGACGCCCUUUGUCCGAACCUUCAUUGAUGUCACCGUGAACGCGGCUCGCGUUGCGCAUAUGCUUUACCAGUUCGGAGAUGGGUUUGGCGUCCAGGACGGUGAUAUUAGGCGGCAAAUUUUAUCUGCAGUGAUCCACCCUCUCGCUCUUAACUGAGAUAGCGCAAGUGUAAUCACAAAGCAAGUGCGUAAGCUAGACUAGCUGCUGCCGGUCGAAGGAUUUGAGUACUCCACGCAAAUUGUAUCCCAUGCUGCAUAUCGCACAAAGUAACCAUGUGCGUAGUUGGCCUGAUCCACAUAUAUCGCACUAUGAAAAGAAAUACUCGAGAUCGUAAUAAUCUGACCCUUCUCAUCUUAUGCAACGUUGAAUGUUGUAAAUGGCCAGUAAUGGUACAUUAUUUUUUUGCUAGGAUAACAGUCUUUGGUUUACUUCGAAAAUAAUAACUUGUUGUGAGCUAUAAAUAUUUGAUGGAGUGAAUUUUACAACAUUUUAUAAUGAUUUGUUAUUUGAUUUUUUUUGUGAUUCAGAAUAGAUUGUUAUUCUCACAGGCUGUCACCAAAUCAUUUCUCAUUUGUAAACUUCUUCUGUUGCCACCUAAUCAAUAAAACUCGAAGCACACGCUUAUGUCCUUCUCUUGAAUUAGUAAAGCCUCGACCAUGCGUGAUUUGAAAAAUCUUGGUGCUCUCCGGAGGUUAUUUCCCAAGGAGAAAGUUCUUGUUAAGGCGAUAGAGUAUCUCGAUCUACUGUACUAGAAUUGGAUCAUCAGCUGAAUGUGGCCAUGUGACGUGUGGCCCGGCAAUGCAAUGAAUCGGUAGGUCCCCUGACUUUUCUUCAUUUUCAGGCCGUUGCAGUCGCUUAGCCAUCAGUGGACAUGUAUCUUCUUGAAAGGGGUAACCUGGACGCCCGUCGCAAUCCAACGUCAGAUCGAUGUGCAAAUGUUAGUGUGGCACGUCUCUCUCAUGCUCCUAGGACGAUUUUUUUACUUUAGUGCCGACACUCCCACGUGAUGCCCAGACUCAUUCCAACAUUAUCGGCAUGCAUUCGAGAUUAAUUGCAUAACCCCAUUAUUCUAACAAUGAGCAUGCUCUCUUUCAUUGUUUAGAGUGUUAGUUUCUAUCGUACGUCCAAAUCUAUGGAGUAAAACUUUGAGAAAUUUUGAAAGAAUCGAAAACAGUUUCCCGUAUUAUGUCUUGGAAACAUUCGAGAGCAUAAAUUGACAUCGUAUCUCAAAUGCUGAAAUGAAAGGGGAAAAAAGGGAAUGGGACAAAUGCGGAAUCAACACCUCAUUUUUAAAUGAAGAGUGUGAUGAAGAUGGCAUGUGAAUCGAUGCAUGAGGAAUUAUCCACAUGAAAUAAAUUUAAGAUGGAAUACUGCACCGAAACCAUGUUAUUAUAUGUUGAAUUGAAAAGAUUGAACUUUUACUUAAAGUGAGAUGAUAAGGCACGCAAAGAUUCAUUCAUAAUCCCAUAAAUGAGUGAUAUCACGAUCAUGUUUUGAUUAGAGAGAUUCCCAUUAUUUUGGUAGUGCUUUAAUUUUUCAGUUGAGACAAUUAAUGAUCGAUCGAGAAAAGUCAAAACUGACAAACUCGUUUUAUAUCAUUGUUGGUAUGAAAAUGAUUGAACUCUUGGAGUACGGUAUUUGCUUUAAUUGCGUACAUCAAUGGUCAGCGCGUGGUCAUCGACUCAAAUCGCCAUCCAUCGAAUGAAAAAUCACUAUAGACAAGUGACUAACAUGUAGACAAGUGACUAACAUUGCUCGUACGAGGUACGAGGUUAAAAGAUCAUAAACACCUGGAGAAGGUCUCCCGUCGGUGAAAAAUCACUAUCCACUUGUGACAUGUCUCACGUACUUUUUAGGUCCGUGCAUUUAUUCAUCUUGUUUAUUUAGCCUAAUAAGGUUUGACUAACGUUAUAGCCUUCUAAGUUUAGCAUAAUUAAUCACAGGUGUUGCGCCAGUAGCCACUUUUCUCACAUGAAAAAAGAGAGGUGGGAAGUUUUUAGGGAGUUGGGGAUGUGAACCUUUAGUUUCAAGUGUGGAAUUCGACUCCCAUACUCUAUAAAAAGACAUGACAAAAGUCUGAGAGUGUGUUGAGAGUUAGAAUAUGACAUAUAAGAAAAAAGUUUAGCAUAAUCAACAAACCAAAAAAAAAAUAAUAAUCAUUAAUUCCAUUAAUACACACUAACUCGUCAUGAAGAAAAUCCAUAUGUAUGUGUGCGUAUGUGGAAGGUAGAUUGAGUUAUUUUUGUAUGAAAACAAAGUUAGAUUAAAGAUUUUGAAUAAUUCAACUAGAGGGAACAUAGGCACAUAAAUCACAACAAAUUUGGCAUUUAAUAUCAUAGAGUAAAGCAUAGAAACUAAUUUUUCAAUCUAGUGGGAGGCAUGGAUCCUCUACUAGUUUCAUAUUGAAUCAUGCCAAGAAAUUAAUGAAUGAACAAGUGCAUUUUCUUGUGAAAGAACAUGAUAUCAGACAAUAAUAAUCUAGAAAAUUGAAAGGUAAAUGAGACAUCGAAUUUACAUAAUUCGGGGGUGUGAAUUACUUUUGGAAGAGAAGUAUCGAAUUUCAUUAUAGAUCUAGUGAAAGAAUGGACAUUACAAACACAUUUGAGUUACUCAAACGUUUUUAGUAGCUUGUAUAGUGUUUAGCCCUCACAAUUCUUAACGAAACAAUCUCUCAAUCUUACAAAAGAAUACACAAAACUGAUCAAUGACAAAAGGUUUCUCCAAUUUAGGUGCAAAAGUGAACAAAACUCACGAGAAGAAUUUUUUUACCCAUUCUUGGCACAAACCAAGGCACAAACCCCCCCCCCCCCCAAAAAAAAAAAAACAACAACAACAACCUAAUUAGAGAACCUAUAUUAAUCCCAGGAGACCGACUCCAAUACGAACUCAGGUUUCGUUCAAUGGUUUCAAUCUCAAGACAUAUUUAUCAACACAAACAAUGAUUAAUUGUGUACCCACUUUAUUCCCAACUGAUUUCUUAAAUUCGAUUUUUUAGCUAGACGAAUGUGGCUUGCGUUUUGCCAGAUAGGCAUUUGUAGACAUAUCUAGUUUGGUUUGGCCUUACCCCGAACAAGCUUCUAAGAUUUGGUUUCAAGAUAUUUUGACGUGCUCUCAACAUGUGGCCGGAGGCAGGAACUGGUACCGAGGUUGCCGUGUGGGGCUCGUCAUGAGAACUAAAUUGAAACAGUUGCUCUCAAGCCCCAUCAACACGGUGAAGAAAGUGUCGUCCCCAUAGAGGUACUAUGAAAUUGGAUGCAUAUAAGCCACUCAAAGCUCAUGUGUCAUUAUUCCUUGACGGUAAUAUCUUCUGAGUCAUCAGUCAUCGUAGUUCUAAUAUUGAGUAUUAUCAGCAAUUAUUCUCGGUUCUGUCNNNNNNNNNNNNNNNNNNNNNNNNNNNNNNNNNNNNNNNNNNNNNNNNNNNNNNNNNNNNNNNNNNNNNNNNNNNNNNNNNNNNNNNNNNNNNNNNNNNNGUCGCAAGCAAUUUUAUAUAUGUUUCUCCACAAACCUUGUAUAACGUGCUUUCCAAAGAUUCACAAUCAACCAAAGGGUAGCAAUUGCUCGAUCUGACUUUUAUGCAAUAAAAAUGCUCUUCUUGAUUCAAUAUAUAUACAUACAUACUUCAAGACAUGAUUUUAUAAAACCAAAGAAGAUAUAGUACCACUCACCUCGUCGUCGACGACCAAACGACGAACGAUACUCGUAUCGUCGAAUUCAAGGUCCUAUCAAAUAACCGAGAAAAAUGUUAAAAUCUAAUAAAACACUGUCUCUACUUCGAAACAACUAAAUUACGCCUUAACUCUAACAAAAGGACUUCUACGCGCUAACAAAUCGCAUAACCAAAGUGAUUGUUCAAGCCAUUCGCAACACGAAAUUUAAGUGCAAAACUUGAUUGCGCCUUAACUUUCUCUUCCGAACUCCGAUCCAAACGUACUUAUAUUCAAUAGAGAGCCCUUGAAACAUAUCACAAGAAUCCCGACUUGGCCAUCCCAAAAUCAAGCUGAAAAAUGACAAAAUACGGGCCCAAAGCUGCUGGACGCGUACUGUUCACUGCGCGUGGGAAACUUUGAAAUUCUGUUUUGGACAAACCAUAAGCUCAAAUCACGAUCCGUAAAAUCCCACGGCUCCACAACACCCUAAAUUACCAUUCUUGCAAAAAUACGCGGCUCAACGACUCCAAAAUUAGACUUCGCCGCUCAGUUUUCCAAAAUUUUCGAAUUUAAGUCCUAAAUCCAAAAAUUACUUCAAUCGGACAAACAAGGGGCUUGAUCUCUUACCGGGUGCUGUGUUAUGGAGUCGAGUCGGCUUGGCGAGGCAUCCGAGACGUGCACGUGCCAAAAUUCCUUUCCUUUUUUUCCCUUUUUCUCUUCUCCUUCCUCUUCUUCGUCUUUUCUUUCUUUUCUUUUUGGUCGAGGGAACUCUCAGCUUCUAUUUAGCCGAGCCCUCUCCCCUCUCCUUUUUGUUUUACUGACUUUUCAGUUUCUUUUUCAGUUUCUUCUUUUGGGGCCCACUAACAUAAUAUUACAUUAUUGCAUAAUAUUACAGAAGCAAAGUGGGACAAUAUGGGCUACACACCAUCGCUGGAAGAGUACUUGAGCAAUGCGUGGACAUCAUCUUCAGGACCACUGAUCAUGUCUCACGCUAGUUUCUUUGUGGGACAUAUGAAUUGGGAGGAUGUAGCAGAUUUGCUGGAGAGAAACAAGGAUCUGAUUUAUAAUGUGUCCAUGAUAAUUAGACUCUGCAACGACCUUGGAACGUCAACGGUAAUUAUCAAAUUUCUGCGCUGAAGUUAUAAACCAACUGAAUUUGACAUGAUGUUAAGAAUACUUAGCCUGCGAAAAAAAACUCGGCAUAUGGAGUAAUUGAAUCAAGGAGCGAAUCUGAUAAGCACAUUAAAAUGAUUUACUUGUUCAAUUAGGCCGAAAGAGACAGAGGAGAUGCUCCAUCGUCGGUGGUGUGUUACACGCGAGAAGCGAAUGUUCCGGAAGACAUCGCUAGGAAGCACAUCAAGGAACUGAUAAACCAGGAAUGGAAAAGCAUCAAUGCUUGUUGCUUCAGCAAUGCCGAGACGCCCUUUGUCCGAACCUUCAUUGAUGUCACCGCGAACGUGGCUCGCGUUGCGCAUAUGCUUUAUCAGUUCGGAGAUGGGUUUGGCUUCCAGGACGGUGAUAUUAGGUGGCAAAUUUUAUCUUCAGUGAUCCACCCUCUCGCUCUUAACUGAGAUAGCGCAAGUGUAAUCACAAAGCAAGUGCGUAAGCUAGACUAGCUGCUACCGGUCGAAGUGUCACGCCCCGAUCCUCGGGCACGCACACAUCCUUUUCCCUUUGUCGAUUUUAUAAUGCGAUAUCCCAGGACUAGUAUCGCCGACCCUUUCAUUUUUUUUAAGCGCAUGCGGAAGCAGUUAAAAUCCCCAGACAAUAAAACGAUGGGAUAGAAAAGCAGGGCCAUAUUUUUCAUAUUGAAAUUUAUAACCAAACUUUUAUGCAAAUCAUAAACCACUUCAAAACUAUUCACAUCAAAAAGGAGAUCUCAAAAUAAGAUAGGAUCUCAAUCCAUCCAGACCGUACUCAAGGCCCCUCUCGGGACUAUCUUCUUCUUCCAAAAAUCCUUCUCUUCAUAUCUCACCUCCGAGUUCUCCUCCUCGGAUUCCUCCUCCUCAGCUCUUCAGCGGGGUCCUGAAAUGGUUUUCCCCAAACUGGGAUGAGACUACGUCUCAGCGAGUUCUACCCCACUAAGCCCGAUUAGUAAACUAUUAUACUAAAGGCUGCCUAAACACGCACAGGGCAGAGGACUUAUCUUGGCCUCUGAUCCCACCUGCAAGUCAGUACAAUUCAUAAUAGGCACCCAAGCAAUCAUAUCACCGAUCGAAACAUCGAUCAAAUCGACCGAGUCGAUUAUAUUCCAACAAGACCACUCACGGUCAUUUCCAUUCAGUCAAUCAAUUCACAACAUCAAAUCAAAGCAAGGAUUAAUCGACCUAGUCGAUUACAUGUCAGACAGACCAUUCCAGGUCAUUGAUUCCACACCAUAUAUUCUUUCAUCGAGUACUCGGUCACAGANNNNNNNNNNNNNNNNNNNNNNNNNNNNNNNNNNNNNNNNNNNNNNNNNNNNNNNNNNNNNNNNNNNNNNNNNNNNNNNNNNNNNNNNNNNNNNNNNNNNNNNNNNNNNNNNNNNNNNNNNNNNNNNNNNNNNNNNNNNNNNNNNNNNNGUGCGUUCUUUAAGGCGCCGUUUUCGCCAGUGAUGCCCUUAUCACCGAACCACGCAUGCCUAUAACCAUGUACUCAAUAGACAAUUGUGUGCGUUCUUUAAGGCGCCGUUUUCGCCAGUGAUAUCCCAAAUCACCGAACCACACAUGCCUACAAUGAUUUGAUCAAUAGACAAUUGCGUGCGUUCUUUAAGGCGCCGUUUUCGCCAGUGAUGCCCUUAUCACCGAACCACGCAUGCCUAUAACCAUGUACUCAAUAGACAAUUGUGUGCGUUCUUUAAGGCGCCGUUUUCGCCAGUGAGUUCCAUAAUCACCGAACCACACAUGCCUAUAACAAUGUAUUUAAUAGACAAGUGUAUGCGUUCUUUAAGGCGCCGUUUUCGCCAGUGACACCCUUAGUCACCGAACCAUACAUGCCUAUAACAAUAUGAGUACUAGACCGAUACGUGCGUUCUUUAAGGCGCCGUUUUCGCCAGUGAUGUCCCAAUCACCGAACCACGUAGGUCCAUACACUGUGCCUGAUUGGUUCAAUCCCAGAGUACUUCUGAUUCACUCUCGUCAUUCUACUCACUUUACAACUCAACAAAGCACUAUAAAUGCUGAAUAAACAUACUUGGCCAUUCAUCAAUCAACAAUUCAAUCUCAAUCAAUUCCAAUCAAUUUAGGGUAAAUCCCUAAAAUAUCACAAUUUAUUCAAUUCCAUACAACGUAGAGCUCAAAUAAAUAAACGGACUGCGCCACGACGAUCAGCACGAGAUUUCGGUCGUCGGCCAUCAAAAUCUUAAUUUCCGAAAAAUAAUUAAUUUAUUUAUUAAUUUCGAAAAUUAAAUAAUUAUUAUUAAAAAUUCAAUUUAGCUCAAAAUAAAGCUCGAUUACAUAAACGGACUUCACCACGGUCAUCAGCAUAAUUUUCCGGUUCCGGGCCAUCUCAGUUGAAUUUUCGGAAAAUAAAUAAUUAUUUAAUUAAUUUCGAAUAUUGAAUAAUUAAUAUUAAAAAUCCCAUUUAGCUCAAAUUAAAGCCCGAUUACAUAAACGUACUUCACCACAGUCAUCCUCAUAAUAUUCCGGUUCCGAACCAUCUCCCUUGAAUUUUCGGAAAAUAAAUAAUUAAUUAAUUUAAUUCCGAAAAUUAAUAUUUAAAUACUAAAAAAUCCACUUAGGCCCGAAAAGCCUAAUUGGAGCCCACUAAGGGUCGGGAAAAAUCCCGAGGCACUUCCAAUAAUUAGUAGACCACGUCUACUUGCUAAUUACACAAUCAAUUUAUUUAAAUCGCAUCACAAUUGACUAAUAAUUGCUAAUUUAAUCUAAUCUAACAACCUAAACAUAAUUAAUUAAAUCUAAACCAACCUUAAGCAUAAUUAGCCAACUAAUCCAAGAUUAGUGAGAUUACUCACCAAAUCGCACGCAAAUCGGAUCAAUCCGACGGCGGCGACGCGAGGAACGACAAACUCCAAAGCGACUCGCGGAUCCGGGGCCGGGAAACGGCCCAAAACGGGCCCGAACCAGCUGGAAACCCAUUUCGUGGGUUUCUGCCCUUGGCUGGUCGGAGCAGAUCCGACGGCCAAAACGGCGAGGGAAGGCCGGCGGAAGGCAAGGGGGUCGCCGGGGGAGGUCCGGCGAGGCUAAGCGGUGGCUGGAGGUGGCCGGACGGUGACUGGUCGGUGCGGAACAGGGGCGAACAGCAGCUGGGUUGGCUGGAUCGCGCGGAGGGAGGAGCGGCAGCGAGCGACGGACGGCGGGACGGCGACGGGCGCACGGGCGAGGGCGGCGGUGCGGCGGCGGGACGAGCGGCGAGCGGUUCUCGGCGAGCUGCGAUCUCCGAGCUCCUGGUUCGCAUGCGAAGAAAAGAAGGAGAAGAAAAGCUGGUUCUGUCGUGAGGGGGAAGAAAGAAGAGAGAGGAGAGAGAAGAGAGAAGAUAAGCUUGGACUAGUCAAAGGGAAGAGAGAGAAAAGGUGGGCGGUGGGGGAGAAAAUAUUGGGUACGCCUUAUGUAUCAACGUGGCAAACAAAAAGGCGCUCGGAGCGCGACACGUGUCCUCCCGUGGGACCCAUCAUCUUUAAAUAUUGGAUGAGCAGGGCCACCAGAAACCUUUCCCUCCCGGUCAAAUUUGAAAAAUUCGGGGCGCUCUCUCUCUCUCUCUCCUCCCAAGAAAAUAUUAGCUGGGCCCCACGACAGAUCCUUCUCUUACAAUUAAUUUGAACGGAAGCGUUGGACUCUCUCUCUCUCCAUUUUUUCUUUCGACUCUCGCCCGGUUGCUUUGCCCUCCGCUUCUUCUCCGAUCGGACACGGAGCCGCCGUCCGACGAAUCACGCCACCGCCGCUGCUUCCGCAUCCGCCUCGUCGGCCGCCCCUGCAUCUGAGCUAGAGCUAGUAUUUUCUCGUUCGUUCUGCCCCUUCGUCGCGCUGCUCCUCCGGCGAACGACGGAGCCCGCCGUCCGACGAACCACGCCGCCGCACUUCCGCAUCCGCCUCUUCCGCCACCUCCGCAUCCACCUCUUCCGCCACCUCCGCAUCUGCAUUCUCCUCCGUCUUCAACGGCGACCGGGCUCUUCCUCUCCCAGUCGCCGUCGAAGAAUCCGUACUCAAAAUCAACGUCCGGGCUGAUGCAGGGGAUGCGAGGGAGAUGGAAGCGGGACCUCUUGGAUGCUCCGGGUCGAUGCAUCUUGACGUGGAAGACCAGGGUCUUGUCGAACGAGAGCUCGCGCUCCCCUUAGCGGAUAGGCAUCGAGCUGCGGUAGCCGCAACCGCCACCGAUGCUCUUGACGAAUCCAGCCACGGCGAGACGGAACUUGACCGCGAUGAGCCGCCUGAAUGCCCCGCCUCUCCUCGGCCACAGUAGCGCAAGGCGGACCACGUCCCAAUCUCUGCGGGUGACGCCGGAGUCCCCGCUUGCCAUUUCCGAAUGCAGAACGUGUUACAGAGACGGUGAGGACGGCGAAUCGCAAGCGAGCGGAAGCCCAACGCCGGAGUCCUCGCUUGCCUUUCCUGCUUUACCCUUCUCUCUCUAUUGGUUGGAGCGAGCUUGAGAUGCAUAACAAUGGAAGCUGCCGACAAGGCCACAGAGAAAGCAUUGGCCGAUUCCCUCUCGCGGGAAGUGAACCCCAUCUUGUAGAGGAUGAUGUGAGAGAGAUAGCGGAUGCUAUGCCGAUCGAGGAGGUCGUCGGUGGCAGCAUUCAAGAAGGGUUCUCUUGUUACUCGUGGAGGUAUGCAGACAAGCCCCCGAGAGACGAGAUAUCGUCGACCUAGACUUCCUUCUGUUUCAUGGAGCACUGUUCGGCUCUCUGCAUUCUUCUUUAUUCGUCUGUAACCGAGGUCUGAACUCGAUCAUGGGGAUCUCGAUGAAAAAAUAAAACUAGGAAUUGUUAAGUCCUUUGGAUCUGGAAGAGAAAGCGUGUAGCUAAGUCCCUAAGUUCGAAGAAAUGUGCUGUUUUCUAAAACAAUCAUCAAUAAUAAUAUUGCAAUUUUGUUGAUGCUGUUCGUUUACUUUUUGCUGAUUUCUAGCUUUAUGGUACACAAAGUAUAGAAUGCUCUUCCGUGUUGGUAUAUUUUUUAAAAACUUUUGUCACUUGUUGAACCUGUUUAUAAUUUGCCAACAUUGUUUGUCUAACUUACCAACUUGACUUUUCUAAAAACUUUUCUAGCUUGAUGUUCAUUUGCUCGCUCUGAACUUACCGGCUUCUCUUAUAAUUUACCAACAUUGUUAGUCUAACUUACCAAUCUUUUAGAAUUUGGCAUAUAUAGUUGCCCUUUCAAUAUGCUUUGUUUUUGUUUCAUCUAUUAUGGCAUUGUUUGCCAUUUUGUCGUCUCCAGUGAUGAGCUUGCGGGGCUUGUUCAGUUAUUCUCACGGCAUUAUCGACCUAAAAGAAUGAAGGCACCAUUAUGCACAAGCAAUGAACAUUGCCGUGGGCAACACCAUCAUUUGUUUGAACCGUGCUAGUCGGUAUUUUCCUAUUGCUCGGAGUUCGCACAUCAAUCUAAGAAAAGCAGCUUCAGUCUACCAAGAUACAAUAAUCAAAUCAAUAUUUUCUGGCCAAAUAGAAGUAUAUUGUAAAUCAUUAUAGCAAAACACAAUCCAAGAAUCUUUCAUAUCAUAAUAAGCAGCAACUUCCGGUAUCAAGGCAAGUAUUCUCUGGAACAGAGCAAGAACCGUUCACCCACAGAACCUUGAUCUUAAAAUUGAGCAGAAACAAGGAAGCAAUGAGAGAAUUAUAAUCUCUAACACCAGCCAAAGCCUGAUUCACUGAAUGAUCACAAAUGGGUCAAUGGAUUUAAGCAAUUCAUUUACAUGCAUAGCAGGCCUAUUUGAAAUUCAGUGAUGACAACUGCUUUUGCAGAGAGCUUCGCACGUUUGUUCAACAAGAAAAAAGAAAGAAAAACAAAGAGAAAGAUAGGGUUCACUUCCCGCGAGAGGGAAUCGGCCAAUGCUUUCUCCGUGGCCUUGUCGGCAGCUUCCAUUGUUAUGCAUCUCAAGCUCGCUCCGACCAACAGAGAGAGAAGGGUAAAGCAGGAAAGGCAAGCGGGGACUCCGGCGUCACCCGCAGAGCUUGGGACGUGGUCCGCCUUGCGCUGCUGUGGCCGAGGAGAGGCGGGGCAUUCAGGCGGCUCAUCGCGGUCAAGUUCCGUCUCGCCGUGGCUGGAUUCGUCAAGAGCAUCGGUGGCGGUUGCGGCUACCGCAGCUCGAUGCCUAUCCGCUAAGGGGAGCGCGAGCUCUCGUUCGACAAGACCCUGGUCUUCCACGUCAAGAUGCAUCGACCCGGAGCAUCCAAGAGGUCCCACUUCCGUCUCCCUCGCAUCCCCUGCAUCAGCCCGGACAUUGAUUUCGAGUACGGAUUCUUCGACGGCGACUGGGAGAGGAAGAGCCCGGUCGCCGUUGAAGACGGAGGAGAAUGUAGAUGCGGAGGUGGCGGAAGAGGCGGAUGCGGAGGUGGCGGAAGAGGCGGAUGCGGAAGUGCGGCGGCGUGGUUCGUCGGACGGCGGGCUCCGUCGUUCGCCAGAGGAGCAGCGCGACGAAGGGGCAGAACGAACGAGAAAAUACUAGCUCUAGCUCAGAUGCAGGGGCGGCCGACGAGGCGGAUGCGGAAGCAGCGGCGGUGGCGUGAUUCGUCGGACGGCGGCUCCGUAUCCGAUCGGAGAAGAAGCGGAGGGCAAAGCAACCGGGCGAGAGUCGAAAGAAAAAAUGGAGAGAGAGAGAGUCCAACGCUUCCGUUCAAAUUAAUUGUAAGAGAAGGAUCUGUCGUGGGGCCCAGCUAAUAUUUUCUUGGGAGGAGAGAGAGAGAGAGAGCGCCCCGAAUUUUUCAAAUUUGACCGGGAGGGAAAGGUUUCUGGUGGCCCUGCUCGUCCAAUAUUUAAAGAUGAUGGGUCCCACGGGAGGACACGUGUCGCGCUCCGAGCGCCUUUUUGUUUGCCACGUUGAUACAUAAGGGCGCACCCAAUAUUUUCUCGGCGGUGGGGGAGUCGCACGAAGGGGAAGGGAAAAGGGGGGAGGAGAGAGAAGAUAGAGAGAAAAAGAAAGAAAAGGGAGAGAGAGAAAAGAAUUCAAAUAAUAAUACUUCUCUUAUUUCUUUUCUUUUUCUCUUUCCCUUUCACUUUCUAUUUUCUUUUGGUCUUCAAAUCUUCCUCCGAUAAUUUCUUUCUUGAAACUUCGGACUCGACAAUAAAUUGAUAGACGAUGAGACGGUCCUAAAAAUGAAUUGUAACACGUCCGAAUAUUCGAUUCCCAAAACCGAAUUAAAUUUCAUGAUUAAAAUCGACCGGACGCGAUUUUAGUCCAAUCCAACCAAUUAGGUAGCUUUUAGGGAUUUUACCGCGGUUAUAUCCCUUAACGGCCUCACCCAAUAGGUUAGCUAACUCGUGAGUGAUCAGCUCAGAGAAAAAGGACCAUAGGCACGCCGACGAUAUGCACAUUUCACUUUAUCGAAGUUGGGUCGAAUUUCAAGAUGUCACACGAAGGAUUUGAGUACUCCACGCAAAUUGUAUCUGAUGCUGCAUAUUCAUUUACUUGGGUUUACAAUCGUCAAAUCUCUGAAAGAUAUCCAUGUUACAAUAUCGCACAAAGUAACCAUGUGCGUAGUCGGGCUGAUCCACAGAUAUCACACUAUGAAAAGAAAUACUCGAGAUCGUAAUAAUCUAACCCUUCUCAUCUGAUGCGACAUUGAAUGUUGUAAAUGGCCAGUAAUGAUACAUUAUUUUUUUGCUAGGAUAACAGUCUUUGGUUUAUUUUGAAAAUAAUAACUUGUUGUGAGCUACAAAUUCUUGAUUGAGUGAAUUUUACAACAUUUUAUAAUUAUUUGUUAUUUAAUUUUUUUGUGGUUUAGAAUAGAUUGUUAUUCUCACAGGCUGUCACCAAAUCAUUUCUCUUUUGUAAACUUCUUCUGUUGCCACCUAAUCAAUAAAACUCGAAGCACACCUUAUGUCCUCCUCUUGAAUUAGUAAAGCCUCGACCAUGCGUGAUUUGAAAAAUCUUGGUGCUCUCCGGAGGAUAUUUCCCAAGGAGAAAGUUCUUGUUAAGGCGAUAGAGUAUCUCGAUCUACUGUGCUAGAAUUGGAUCAUCAGCUGAAGUGGCCAUGUGACGUGUGGCCCGGCAAUGCAAUGAAUCGGUAGGUCCCCUGACGUUUCUUCAUUUUCAGGCCGUUGCAGUCGCUUAGCUAUCAGUGGACAUGUAUCUUCUUGGAGAAAAUAUUCAGUGGUUCGUGCGCACCACAUCAUCAGAUGACGUGGCGCGCACAUACCAUUUAGAUACCGACACCUGUCAUGUGGGACCCGCUGGAAAAUGAAAGGACUCGGUCGGCUCGGCUCGGCUCGCUGACAGAAGAAAAGACAAGUCACGCAAGCUCCCGCCCAAAAGACCAUUCUCUCUCCUCAAUUGAAUCUUCUGCAAUUUUUUCUCUCUCUCACUUUCUCUCUCCUCGCGGGAGAACAAACACAGAACGAUCGAGACCGCUUCCGCUUCCGCCUUCGUCUCCGGCUCCGCCUCCUCAAAAGCCUCGCCGGUGAUCUGCUUCUGGCACGUCGAAGCCUCACCAGUCGCAGUCGGGUCCCGACCCCCUCCACCUCCGAUUGUUCCCGCGGAGAUUGGGUACGAGGUUUGUGUCUGCCUCCGGCUCCGCCUUCGUCCCCCAAAAUCUGCUUCUGGCACGUCGGAGCCUCACCAGUCGCAGUUGGGUCCCGACCCCCUCCACCUCCGACUGUUCCCUCAGAGAUUGAGCAGAAGGUUUGUGUCUGCCUCCGGCUCCGGCUCCGGCUCCCUCCCCAAAAGCCUCAUUUGCCUCUGGCAUCCUCCGACUCCGGCAUCUGCUCGUCCUCCCCGUCUCGCCUGCCUCCGCCGCGAAGCCAUCGGCCUUCGGCAGGAGGGAGGUAGCCUCGGUCUCGUUCCCGAGCGGCACUAGGCUUCCCGCCGUAGACCGGGCGCUGUCCGUAACGCUGGCCCGCUCAGUCGCGAGGGAGAUCUCGGACGGUGCGGAGAAGAAGGAGAGGCGCGGGCUAGAGAAGGAUUCCCGCCGGCCUCCGCCACGAAGCCAUCGGCCUCCGGCAGGAGGGCGGCGGCCUCGGUCUCAUUCCCAAGCGGCACCAGGCUCCCCGCCGCUGACCGGGCGUUGUCCCUGACGCUGGGCUGCUCGGUCGCGAGGGAGAUCUCGGCGGACCUGGGCGGGGUCGAUGGCGCGGAGAAGAAGGAGAGGCACGGGCUGGAGAAGGAUUCCCGCUUGCUGUGGACCUGGGGGGGUCCGUGCAUUUCUCUCUCGACCGGUGAGUUUCCUUCUUCCUCCCCUCUCAUGGGCUGGUUUCUGAAUGUGCAGUCGAAAUCCCGAAUGGUUUGUUUCUGCAUCUUGUUGGGUUGUUCAGUUGCCAGCGAAUGCGCGAGUAGCGAGGGAGCACGGAAGUGGAAGAUUUGAAGGGUAAUUUACUUCACAAGUCUUUGAGGACAACCUUCAUUUCUUCUAUGUAGGCUAAGCACUGUAAUGCCUAGGCUCUCUUUGAUGGAAUAAUAUGUUGUUUCGUUUAUGGCAAAAAGAAGAUAAAUAUUAGUGGGAAUAUGGGCAAUUGAAAUUUAAUUUUUCGAUGAAUAAAUGAUUUUGAUGUGCAUGGAAACACCUCACUAGAGAUAUUCUGCAACUACAAUAAUAGGUAUUCUUACAUGACUUGAUCAAAACUGCAGAGCCUAAAAUAAGUAUAUGUCCUGUUGUCCUUGGAAGACCGUACCAGUUUUGACUAGUUACGUUGCUGGUUGAACAUGGAACCUACAUGUCAGUUUAGUCCUCAAUUGCCUUCACUUUUUCCCCACUGACAAUCUUUCGGUGCUUCAUUCGGUAUCAUAGGAUCAAUAGUCAAGUUAUUCACUGACUAUAUGAUUGAGGCGAAGGAAAACGUUGACAGGAACCUUUUUGCCACCAUUGCUAAUGGUACACAGGUAAGAAGUCAGACUUUGACAAAAUCACUACGAAAGUGCAGGCCUGGUUCCUGAUAUUUCUUCUAUGCUGUUUUCUUCUGUCAUAGGAUUCAGUCAAGCUCUUCAUGAAAAUAAUCUCACGUCAUUUGGAGGAGCAACCUCAAGGCAAGCACCCCGAGGUAAGAAGUUUGAUUUUCUUCCAUAGCAGCAUUGGUUGCUCAUUGCCUAUGUGCCUCACAUCUAUUAAGUAUUUCUUCACAAAUGCACUAGAAGGUAGAAAGAGUACAAAUCGCACAGCUCGUAGAUUGAGUGGGAAGGCAUUACUUUCUUCUAUCGCAUAGAUAGAGCAAAUAUCGCCUGUAGGAAUUUUGCACACGCUUUUUGUGCCUGUUUGAUGUGUAUGAGAUUAAAAUUAUAGUUGUAAGACUAACCAGAGGGGUAAAUAUGUUGUUGUUUUCCAGUGCUUCCUUUGCAUCCAUGCAAGAAAUACAGUGCACUAAACGUCACAGGAGUGGCAUUUCCAUUUUUUUCCUACAAAUAAAAUAAGCAGCAAAUCUUCUUUGCUGAACUAAAUGUCAUGUUCAACCAUCAGGGAAACAUUUUGUACUCAAAUCUACUGCCCAAUAUAAUUGAUAUAGGGAUGAGAAACUUUGAGUUUGUUAAGUUUUUCACUUUUUGAUACUGAUGGUUUUUGUUUCCUAUCAUAAUCACAAAUGACAUGAAUUGUUUCAACAUCCAAUUUCAGCUGGAUUUAGUCUUUGGAGAUUUACUAAAAGAAAGAGGCAGGUUGCUUUCAACAUCCUCACCCCUGGAGGAUUUGUCCACUCGAGGAUCCAAGGUAUGUCAUCUUUGUGAACUUACUCCCCUGCAGUUAAGCUGCAGUUACCGAUAUCCUUUUUCCUGCCUUUGUCAUAUAGUGUUGUCCAUUGGCAUGAGAUAAUUUGUGCAAGAAAUUUAUAUAUAUUAUGUUUUCUUAAUAUGCUCUUGUUAUCACGUUAGUUGAUGCUUUAUGAUGACUUUUUGGUCAAUUGGCACGAUCAGGUGUGGGUUUUGUCCUUAUUGGAAUGGGUAUCGCAUUCUCUUUCUAUUAUGUACUCUGAAAAGAAAAAAAUUAAACGGCUCAUUGGUCAACUAUCGCUUGAUUAUAGAAGCUAGAAAUUAGUUCUUAAUACAUAUGGUUACCUGAAUAUCUUUCUGCUCGCAAUUAAGUAGCUAUUAUCACCGUGGAGAAUUUGUAAUCUGAUGCCUCUGCACUCUUCUUGUUCAUAGUGCUGCAGAACCUGUUCGAAAGAGGGUAACUGCGAUCAUCGAAAUGUAUUUGAGAUGCAAGAGAAAGAACUUUUGGUGAGUGCCUCUCUAUAUGAUGCAGAAAAUCUUUAGGAAAGAAAAGCUUGCAGACUUCUUUUGCCGAUUUUUGCAAAAUGAAUUGGAAAGAUUUUGUUUGAUAAAAAGAUUUUAGUAAGGGUGGUUGGGACUAUAAUAGAUAUUUUCAAUUUUCAUUUAAACUUGCUUGCAGGAUAGACUAAUAAAGCAAGGUCUUUAAGUUAACGUGAUUUCAUGUUCCCGUCAACAAUUGUAAAGGAUGAGAAAGUCUAAUAUUUGCAUCUUGCAGGAUCUUAAAACUUUGUUGGUGAAGACAAAAAGGGAGUUUGAAGAUCUGCAGUUCCAGUUUCAGAGAGAUCUAAAACAGCUAGGUAGGAAAAGUAGACUAAAAAGGAGUAGUCUAAUUAGUUCUUUUUUUCUGAGCACAGGCAAGGCUGAGGACAUGGAGCUGCAUGUUCCUUGUCCUUUUGCAUUGAAUGUCAACCAUUUUAGAUGAGUGUCGUCUAUAUACUUUAUUUAUUACAGCUCCUCCGCUGAAUGUUAUUAUCUCAGAUUGAGGCCAUUGUCAUUAAUAUGCUCCCUAAGAUUUGGCAAUAAACUCAAAUUUGAACUUGAAGAAUGAAUCUAUGGGAUCUUGUUACGAUCUUUUUUUUGCUUUUUCAUUUUAUUAAGGAGAAUAAAAGCUAGGUGUGACAUGCUUCCUGAGCAUUAAUAUGUGUUUUUGCUUUUCCAAUGGACCAGGCAAUCAAGUCCAGGAGAUGUCUACUGCUGCCCUUGGAUAUCAUAAAGUGGUGAAGGAAAAUCGAAACCUUUACAACAUGGUUCAGGAUUUAAAAGGUUAGCUUCUUUUUUCAAGGAGAGUUAUUUGUUUAUGAUUUGGAUCGCAUAACUCAAUUUUUUGAGCAGUAUGCAUUUAUUCGCCGAAGUAUAUGCUUGUCCAUGGGUCAGUUGCUAUUAAGUAAAGGAGCUUUCGUUGUUUUAUUUCCAAUGUUAUGAGUUUAAUUUGACAAAAUCUUUACAGGAAAUAUACGAGUAUACUGCAGAAUUAGACACAUUUUUAAUGCGGAAGCCAAAAAUGUGGUAGAUUUUAUUGGAGAAGAUGGUUUACUUGUGAUUGUUGACCCUUCAAAACCCAUAAAGAUGGAAGGAAAGUGUUUCAGUUUAAUCGGGUUUUCAGUCCACUUGCUACUCAAGGUAUUGUUACACUUCAUCUUACUGUCUAAGGGUAUAUUGUUGGCCAAGUGAUUGUCCUGCAAGUUGAUGUUCAGCUCCUAAAUAACAAUGUAAAUUGUUUUUCGCCAUGCGGCCCUCUUUGCAGAUGAUGUGUCCAUGGAUACUCAACUUUGAUUGGAUCAGUUAUGGAUGGUUACAAUGUCUGCAUCUUUGCUUAUGGUCAAACUGGAUUGGGUAAAACACAUACAAUGGUAAGAACUUAAGUGUAGCUUUAGUAGAUCCAACCUUUGUGCCAGAUCACCUCCUAGGCUCCUAGAUAAUUUGUGUAAAAUAAAAAGUGUGCAUUUUCCUUGCUGUUAGAUGGAUGUACUGUUAAUUUCGUAUAUCUACCUGCAAAGCAUGAACACAAUUCAAUCUAAGCAGAUGCUUAAGAUUGCUUACGUUGAUUUGAGGAAUAACUACUUAUUGCCUUUUGGAAUUGCAGAGUGGUCCAUCAGGCGAACUGACAAAGGACAUGGGGAUUAAUUACUUGGCUGUCAACGAUCUGUUCAAGUUGUCUAACAGAAGGAAGGACAUUAUAACUUAUGAUAUUCAUGUUCAGAUGGUUGAAAUAUGUAAUGAGCAAGUGCGUGAUCUCCUUGCUGAGGAUUCAGCAUCCUCAAUAUAUCCUUUGAAAUGGAUUAUUCUGUCUAAUAUAGAUACAUUUGAUGUCAAAUAAGUAGAUAAAAAGACUGAAGAAAGCUUAAGUUUCUGACAUGUAAAUUUGGGUUCCUUGACUAUGCACAAAUUAGAGAUUCGAAGCUGUACCAGUGACGGUGGCUUGAGCCUUCCAGAUGCUACCAUGCAUUCUGUCAACUCCACAGCUGAUGUGGUCAACCUAAUGAAACUCGGUGAUGUGAAUCGUGUCGUCAGUUCUACAGCACUGAACAAUAGAAGUAGCCGGUGUCACAGGUCAGUUUUUGGACAGGCAGAGUUUCCUUCCCAUUCUUUUUGGUAUAAAUUUUGAUGUAGUUUCCAAUAGAUAGAUUAUUCAAGAGAGUGAUAUUGAUGUCCAUGGGGAUGCAUCCUUGCAGUGUGUUGACAGUAAAUGUUCAAGGGAAAGAUGUAUCUGGAUCCAUCCUCCGCGGUUGCCUGCAUUUGGUUGAUCUUGCAGGAAGUGAACAGGUAGAUAAAUCUGAAGUCAGAGGAGAGAGACUGAAGGAGGCACAGUACAUUAAGCGGUCUUUGUCUUGUCUGGGAGAUGUUAUCACAGCUUUGGCCCAGGAAAACUCCCAUGUACCUUACCGCAAUAGCAAACUUACGCUUCUGCUGCAAGAUUCCCUAGGUACCUAUUUCGAAGUUUCGAACUUUGUCAGGUGUCAUUGAAGCUUCAUUUUAGGAUAAAAUUACUAAUUCCCAGAGUGAGCAUUUCAUAGAAUUGAGAUACUCUGAUUAUGAUCCUUGGGUAAUGGUGACAUUGCUUUUAUGCAUUUUAUUUCAGGAGGAAAUGCGAAGACAUUGAUGCUGGCUCAUGUGAACCCUGAGAGAGAUUAAUUUGGGGAAUCAAUGAGUACCUUGAAGUUUGCCCGGAGAGUUUCAACGGUUGAACUUGGUGCUGCACGCAUGAAUAAAGAGACCAGUGAGGUCAUGCAACUCAAAGAGCAGGUAAAUGUCCUUGGGUAAUCUCUAUGCUUCAGAUGCCUUUCUGACAAUAAUCAACAUUAUAAUUCUAGGGGGCUGGAUCUGUCGAUUUGGCAAAAAUGAGAUCCAGAUUGUUAUGCAAGGAGAGCGCACUCUUUGUACUGAUCCUCGAACGCCCAACUUGCUUGUUCAAAGCAUGAAUGGCAAGGAAUCUCACAUAAGGAAAUUGCUGCACGCCAUAGGGAGGAAGCUCAUCAAUGGAUUUGAAAGGAGGUCAGUGAAAUAUUUAACUAUCUAGUCUUAACACUGAAUUGGACAAAUUUAGUAUGGUAUGAAAUACACAAAUGCAACUGAAAAAUUCCAAAAUGACGGAUAAUAUGAGAAUUUGCUCACAUCAUUAUCUUGCCAUUAAGACUUGGUUUCUAUGCAACUGCAGGAACCAAAGAUAUGUGACAGAAGCUCGUUCACCUGUCAGAGGCUCUACUACUUGCAUUAAAAAUGGCGUAUUGGCAAUUGCAGCCAACACACGGACACAAGAUGGAGUAUUGGCAAUUGCAGCCGACACACGGACACUUAGGAGACAAUCACUAACAGGUGCUGGUUUAGACCAGUCUCGCCGGUCUUCUCUGGGUGGCAAGUCCACUAAUUCCAGUAAGCAGAAUCAGCAUAAUUAAAUUUAAUUCACAGUAUAUAUUUCAUCUCAUUAUGUCCAUCAUCUGAUUAUUUGUUUUUGUUUCUUCAAUAAGAUGUAAAAGACACAAGGAAUGCCAAGACGCCUCCUCCAGUCCACCCAUUAUCUAUGAUAGCAAAGCGUUGGCUGUAGCUAUAGAUGGCGAAAUUUAGUGUUCAAUGACCAGCGAAGUGAUGCUUUGACUCGAAGCUGACUGAAUAGAUGAGACACUGAGAAUUGACGAGGGAAAGACUGAAGAGUUAGCCAACAAACGCAAUAGCAAUUUUUUGGUUUAACACACUGCUUAUGUACAUAUUGACACAAGUUCUUCAAAUAAUGCCCGAAAUUUCUAUGGCAAUGUUUUCAAACUGCUCUUGCCCAUUGUUCUCUGAAUCUCUGACUUAAGUCAUCAAAGCUAUCGGCAUCUUUUAACAGAAAUGGAGGAAAUGACAAGUGCCUCUGCUAAUAAACCGGCUGCUCUUCUAUUGUAUAGCUAGCUAAACAUCAAAGAUUAUAGCAUGACAUUCAUAUAACGUGACGCCAAUGUGGUACUAUAGAAUCAAGUGUUCUUGUUUUUAGUAUAGUUGAUUAUAAUAGCUUCACAAGCCCUGAAACCGAGAUCCCUCAGUUUAUCCAGCGACACCUUGCGUGAUAUGGAUCAUACAUUGUGUACUUAUUCAGUUAUAAACCUCCAAUGUAACUGAGGGGCUAGUCAGUUAAAAAAACACAACUAUAGCAACAACUUCCAUGUUUCAUUUUCCGAAACAGGAUCCCAUGCCCAUCUUUGAAGUUCAGCUUAAUUUAGUUGAAGAUGCAAACAAGCAGAUGGCCAUUGCCUUAGAUUUACCCAAAAGUGCUACUGUCGGGAAAACAGACGUGAAGGUUAAGAGGAGCAUCAUUAACAAGUCAUCCAGUUCACCAAAUUGUUAAAAAAUGCCUUCUUUACAAGUUUAUGAUGAACCUGAAAAAUUGAUUCACAGAUGAGUGUACUUUAUUCAAGUUUCAACCAUUCAGUCAAUGGAAAGAAAUAUCGACAAUUAUUUAAGGAAGGUGAAGAGAAGGAAGUAGUUAGCAAAGCUUAAACAAGUCGGUUGUUUGAUUGUAGCUAAUUUGCCCGUUUAUUUUCUUGAAGGAAUAGUCAUAGGCUUGAAGCAGCCGCUUGUGGAAUCUCCUCAUGUCCAAGCUCACAUUCUGUCUGUCGAGAUAGAUCUCCUUAGUGUAUUGCCAUCCCUUCCUAGUCACACCCUUUGGAUUCGUAAGGACUGGAUCAUCUUUAUCGUAUUCAUUAUACAGUGAGCUCUCCCUAGGCGAAAUCUUGUACCCAAUAUACUUGAGACCAAGCUCUCUAGCAGGUUUACCAAAGCAUGUCUCAGCUGGUGAAUCCGUCCCUAAAGGAAUGACUUGGAUGAGCACAGAACCAGGCUUCAGGAAAAGGAAGUGGGUCAAAGCAGCCCCGUGUACACCAACCAUAACCUCGCUCUUAUUAAGCAAGCGAUACAUCUUCGCCAGUUCAGUCGUUCGCUUAGGCCGCGAAACUUCUACUCUGAACCCCAUAUCCUCUGCCAUUUUAACCAAGCAGUCUUCGUUAACUAACGCCCUGGACCCACUGCGCGAUAAUAUCACCAGCUUCGGUUUCUUCACCUGGUGUUUCUGGUCGUCUUUAUUAAUUUUCAUCGAUUGCCCCAAAGUUGGCACUGAAGCCGAUUGAUUCAGUUUCAGCUGUACCCCUUGCUCCUUGUCUUGUAUUGAACCUUUUAUCCGCGGCUGGUAAGCACGGUCAAGGAAGUGUCUGAAAUCGAGGAUGCUCUUAUUCCCCUUCAUCAGUGAAGGAUCCACAGUAAGGUCAUCAUGGAUUUUCACACCAACAAUGGCCUCCGGUAAGCAAUGGGUUCUUUUAUCUCCAGCAAAGUCGAUGAGCGGAUAGUUCGAGAGGCGAGAAAGGAUGUUCUCAUACUUCAUAAUCCACCAAUUGUACAAACUUCAUCACUUUUAAGAAUUCCUGUGGGAUCGGCUGUCCCCAUUAGAUAGUAAGAAUCUGGAAUAGGAAUCCUUCCUCCUUUCAAACUCUUCUUUUCAUCAUUCAUCAGGAUGGACAGACGAUUUUGUAGGUAUGUUUCGUCCAGAGGAAUCCCAGAUAAGAUCAUUCUGGCCGCAGUGAAGCCAUCCUUCUCACCAUGAUUCACCGAAACUGUUCAUACGGUAAAAGAACAAAAGGAAAACACGAGGGAAAAUGUUUACACAUCAAAUAGCAAUUGAAGGAAAAAUGCACCCAAGGGAAGUAAAAGCAGCAAAGAUGAAUAGAGAUGCAUUUUUUUACUUAUGCAUAUUUCGAAUCAAGAAAAAUAAAAGAAGCACAUCCAAGUAUAGAAAAAAAAAUUGGAGAAAAAUCUCUUUUUGGACUGUUUUAAGAAUAGACAAUAUUUCAACAGUCCAAAUGUUCAGAAGAAUACUAUCUCUUAGAGCUGCUCGUUUACUAGAGAAGACACUAUUUGCAUCUCCCAGAGCAUUCUCCACCAUGUCCAAAAGAAAUUCAUUAGGGACCCCGCCAUAGCUUAAAAGUGCAAUCAAAAUCUUUGAAAGAUAUGCAAGCUUUGGUUUAUUACAGCAUCAAUGAGGACCAAGGUCUAAUCAGUUCUUCCAAAAAGGUAAAAUUUGAUGGCAGAAAAAGCUCCAAACAAAAAGCAAUUGGAUUUAGUAAUUCACAAGAAAAACAUGUCCCAUGUUCAAAUUAAACUGCUGAAAGAACAAGAAAGCCGCUAACUUUUCAGUCUGUUUAUGUAAGGGUCUUUUAACCAGCUAACUCCAAAGGAAAAUCUUAACAAAAUGAUCAACAAAUCAAUAGCAUAGCCAGGCAACAAACCCACAGAUAACACUGUGAUCACAGUACUAGGGAUCAGAGGUACCAUAAGAACCUCAAGAGAAUUAAUUAAAACAAUGAUAGCCUGCUGGCAAAAUAUGUUGGUUGUAUAUUGUUUGUACUAUUUCGAGUGCAUCAACGGUCCUGAUAUCUAAAAGCUUCGGGUCCUUUUCAACCUUGAUCAUCGACGGUCGAAUAUGAAUUGUAUGAGGAGGGAGCUACAGAUUAAAAUUCGGCCAAAACAAUUAGAAUGGAAGAUCUAAAUGAACCGAUAGAAAAAAUGAAAUAUAUCGCAAUAUGGAGAAUUAUUGCAGCUGAAGAACUAAUAACUAGACUCACACUUAAUAAUACAAUGUAGAUUUUCCUAAGCAACCAAAACACUCUAACAACAUCAAUGAUCUAACCAAGUUUCUGCAUAUAAAAUGACUGCCUUGACAAACCGCAUUCCUUUUAUGCUUCCUCUUGUGAGCAUGAUGGAUAGGAGAAAUUCCCACCAGAACACAUGAGACUUCUAUUGCACUCUCAUACCGAUACAUUAUCACCUGACAGUAAUCAUCUCGGGAUAGAAAGACAGGAUAAUAGAUUCACAAACAAACAUGCUUUUAUAUAUACACUGAGUCAUGAGUAUAAUUAAAUAGCAUGAAAACAGUGUACUCUAUCCGCAACUGGAGUAACUGAAUAUCAUAGGACCUGAAUGAGCUAGAUUAGAACCCCAUGUGCAAAAAAAUUUGAAACCAAUCUUUUUAAAAAGCUGACCCCUGUUCAAACAGGAUAAACAGCUUAAUGGUCAACCGUAAUUGAUUGUUGCCUAAUUAAUACAUUACCAAUAAACAUCAGUCCACAGCUAAUCAAGAAUUUAUGAAGCAAUCAACUGUAUCAUUUCUAAUUAUUCAGGACGUCAGAAAAGAAAAUAUCAUCCACUGUUGUCAAGCAAGGCCCUAGCCUAAAAUAAGGGACAUGUUACAUUAAAAGUUUGGGAUGAAUCCUUUAGCAAGAAAUUUUUUUAACCUUUUCUUUAAAUGAACCCAAAGAAUGUAUUAGCAAGGUAGAUCUUAAGUCAUGAAAUGAUAUUCUGGAAAAAAUUAAUUUUUGUACUACAUUAUAGCAUCUUUCUUAUUGACAUUAGGCACUUGCUUUCCCAUAUCAAAUUUUGUGACACCGCAUGCAAAAGUUCUUUUUCCUGAUAUGGUACCUAGCAACCGGUGGAGAGAGAGAUGAAAUAAGAAUGGACUGCUAAGUUUAGUGUAAAGGUGUACAUAGGAAAGACAAUGUUCAAAGAAAAGCAAAGAUGUAUAGAAGACUACACAUUUUCACCUUUUUCCUUGGCUCUCUUAAAAGUAAUCUUAUAAGCAUAAGACUAGGCUCUGGAAGUCUCCGACUGUGCUAAUGUAGAGUCGACAGUUGCUUUUCUAAAAACUUCGCCCUUUUACUAAAAUAAUAUACCUCCUUUCUCAGUUUUGUUUACAGAAAGGAACAAAAAGGGUCAAAGAACAUGACCUAAUUUCAUCUUUUUCCUUGAGGGAAUGCCUGAGAGAAUGACCAGCCUUACUUGAGGUGCUUUUGGAGUCGCCACAUUGGGUGCCUGCCCAGGCAACUCCAGUGCUUUUGAGAACACUAGUGACACCUAAACAGAACAAUUGAUCUCACUUCAACUCAUAAACGAGACCAAGCACUUAGUGGCUUAAUGUGGCAAAAGAUGCUUGAAGGCCUAGAUUAUUUUCUCUUUGCAAAUUGAACCCGAUGCAUUGAUCAACCCCCAAAUAACUCAAGGUGCAAUANNNNNNNNNNNNNNNNNNNNNNNNNNNNNNNNNNNNNNNNNNNNNNNNNNNNNNNNNNNNNNNNNNNNNNNNNNNNNNNNNNNNNNNNNNNNNNNNNNNNGUUAUUUAUUAUUUUCCUUAACAUCAAUAUACACACUUCAUAUUUAUACAUGGAACUCACAUUACAAAAAAGAGUGUAUGAAGAAACCAAGAUACCUCUUUGAAUCAUAGAUAACAGGGAACAAAGGCGAGUUCUCUAUUAUGUGCAAGAACUUCUUCAAUUUCAAAUCUGACUGCAACAAAGUAGUGAAAAACAGGUAAAACAACGUGGCAAAAAUGAGGAACUAUUACAUAGUUCUUCAUUUACAGGAAGAUAUCAACUAGCACACUGAAUAAGCAAGUUCCAAGCAUAAGAUAUAUGUAACAAAACAAAUAUGACAGUUAUAAAAAGACCAUUAAAAGGAGCAACUAUUGAGGACCCACCUUAUAAAAUUCCAUUAGUUCAUCAGCUCUGAAGUUCUUCACCUAAUAUCAGAACAGAAACUAAGGCGUGAUCAGCCAACACAUCAAUCGCAAUUGGUAGAGAAAACAAAACAAAUAUAUAAAUGAAAGCAAUCUCAUGAACUCAAAAGUGGCAUUGACAUGUUAAGCAUACUUAAUUUGGAAUAAUUCACUUUGCAAAAUAGUAAUUAGAAAUAACAUGCUAAUGCAUUGGAAACUACAAAAUUUCCUUUUUAGUUACUUAGUAAGUCUCCUUAGAGCACUGUUAACAAAAGGGCACUUGUUAAGCAUACUUAUUAAUAUGAUUCACUUUCCAAAGAAAAAAUUACAAAUACCACAAGAACAAUCUGUGCAUCCAAUUGAAAACCAUAAAAAUUUCUUAAUCAGUUGACUUAAGAAUUGCCCUUAGAGAACAGUUAACAAAAUCCUUACAAAUACAUAGAUCUUCUCUGCAGAUCAGACUCAUGGCACAUGCAUGAACAGAAAAAUACAAUCUUUAUCAUGAAACUACCUGCUUCAAGGGGACGAAACUUAUACUGGAAGGUGGCAAAGCCUGAGACCAAAGGAAAAGGAACAUGAGUCGGUGAUAUGCUGCACUUCUCGUAACAUUUUAUCAUACUUUGCUCUAAGAAACAUUUAGCCAUAGCAGAUAUAUAACUCGUACAUAUUAAGAAGAAACAUUUAGCUGUAGCAAAUAUAUAACUCGUACAUAUUAAGAAGAAACAUUUAGCUGUAGCAAAUAUAUAACUCAUACAUAUUAAGCUAAACCAAAUGUGCAAUUCCCUGUCAUGUCUGUUUUCGUCUAUGCUUUAUCUAGUAGAUGAGCACUCCUGAUAGCGAAACAUAAUACUACGAAUUUUUGGGAUCAAAAUAGAGUAUCUCGGAUACAUAUAGUAAUACCAUCCUCUGGGACAAGCUCAGAAGAUGACAAAACUUGAACUGGUCAAAGCUUGUCUAGCUAGCUGCAACUCCUCGAAAACAUGUAAUAGAUGCUGAGGCAAAGUGUGGGGUAGAAAGAAGCUUCAAGAGGGAAUCCUUCAGGCAUUUAAAUAUAUAGAGAGAAAAAAAGGAAAGAAUAGGUGAGCACAAGCUUCCAGCCCGGAUAACACUCUAUCAUGACAAGAUCCAUUAUGCCAACAAUCUGAAAAUCUUCCAUUUAAGUUCUAACUGGGCCUUAGCUUCAAGCGAGGAUAGUAGGACAUGUGCAGAAUUCUUCAUUUUAGAUUCUAGUUUAGGCAAUUAGUUCAAACACACACCUCAUAGCUGAAGGGGCCUUCUAGCGCAUCCAAGUCAUGAGUCCCAAUUGCAAUCAGUGUUCUUCGCCUAAAAUAUCGAGAGAAUCCGACCAUGUCAAUCCAAGCAGAACAUUUUGAGGAUCUAGCAUAAGCACAAGCAUCUGAUGUACUAAGUGGAGGGAUUGGGGGGCUGGGCAUCUAUUACAUGCAAAUAAAAUAUCAAAUUGAAUAUAGAUCUCGAGAAUGAAAACUAGUUCAAGCAACAUAUCUAUCAUCACCACUUCACCAAAUUAUUCAAAACAACUCAGCGGAGUCCUCUCUUCACAUCCAGGCAUUUCUCACAAAUUAUUCAAAGAUCGAACCACAUAGCAUCUCGAUAGCCAUUACGAGCAACAUGGUCCGCGAACCCCCGAACCAAAAUUCACCCAAGACUUGCGAAACAGCUCCAAACCCAUCCGAAACACACAACAUCUAACUGAAUGCCGAAUCAGCUUCGCAGUCACCUGUUCCCCGGAACUUCAAUUUUGUAGAUGACUUCCUCGUCCUCAUCAGUCUCCUCUUCCAGGUGCUUCUCCUUUCUGAUGAUCGCCUUCUCCGUCGUCUGGCCAGCACAAACAAAGAAGCCCAACCCCCUCAGCCUUUAAAAAAAAGAAGAAAAAAUCCCCCAAAAAAAAACCCAGGUCUGAUUUGCUCGCGGUGGUUCGCCGGUCGGAAAGAGGGAGGGCAGAGAGAGAGAGGAAGGUUGCGGUCCUCUCACCGGUCCGGUGCGGUAGUUCGUCGGUUGCUGGCGGUGGUUCGCCGGUCGGAAAGAGGGAGGGCACAGAGAGACUGGGAGGUCGCGUCCUGUUCGUCAGAGAGAGAAAGAGAGAGGGAGGGAAGAGUGAGAAAGGCGAGAGAGGAGAGAGAGAAAAACCCAGCAAAUUCGAGUGAGGAGAGUGAAAAAAAUUCGAGCGGGAGGAAUAAGCUGACCGUCCUUUCUUCUGCGGUGCAGUCGAGCCGAGCCGAGCAGCCCAAAAAUCAGCGCCUUCCUUUUUCAGCGGGUCUCGCUCGGGGACACGUGCCGGUAUUUCAUUGGUUAGUGUGCACCAGGUCAGCGGAUGACGUGGCGCGCACUAACCACUGAAUAUUUUCUCAUCUUCUUGACAGGGGUAACCUGGACGCCUAUCGCAAUCCAACGUCAGAUCGAUGUGCACAUGUUAGUGUGGCACGUCUCUCUCAUGCUCCUAGGACGAUUUUUUUACUUUAGUGCCGACACUCCCUCGUGAUGCCCAGACUCAUUCCAACAUUGUCGGCAUGCAUUCGAGAUUAAUUGCAUAACCCCAUUAUUCUAACAGUGAGCAUGCUCUCUUUCAUCGUUUAGAGUGUUAGUUUCUAUCGUACGUCUAUAUCUAUGGGGGUAAAACUUUGAGAAAUUUUGAAAGAAUCGAAAACAGUUCCCUGUAUUGUGUCUUGGAAACAUUUGAGAGCAUAAAUUGACAUCGUACCUCAAAUGCUGAAAUGAAAGGGGAAAAAAGGGAAUGGGACGAAUGUGGAAUCAACACCUCAUUUUUCAAUGAAGAGUGUGAUGAAGAUGGCAUGUGAAUCGAUGAAUGAGGAAUCAUCCACAUGAAAUAAAUUUAAGAUGGAAUAUUCCACCGAAGCCAUGUUAUUAUAUGUUGAAUUGAAAAGACUGAGCUUUUACUUAAAGUGAGAUGAUAAGGCAUGCAAAGAUUCAUUCAUAAUCCCAUAAAUGAGUGAUAUCACGAUCAUGUUUUGAUUAGAGAGAUUCCCAUUAUUUUGGUAGUGCUUUAAUUUUUCAGUUGAGACAAUUAAUGAUCGAUCGAGAAAAGUCAAAACUGACAAACUCGUUUUAUAUCAUCGUUGGUAUGAAAAUGAUUGAACUCUUGGAGUACGGUAUUUGCUUUAAUUGCGUACAUCAAUGGUCAGCGCGUGGUCAUCGACUCAAAUCGCCAUCCAUCGAAUGAAAAAUCACUAUAGACAAGUGACUAACAUGUAGACAAGUGACUAACAUUGCUCGUACGAGGUACGAGGUUAAAAGAUCAUAAACACCUGGAGAAGGUCUCCCGUCGGUGAAAAAUCACUAUCCACUUGUGACAUGUCUCACGUACUUUUUAGGUCCGUGCAUUUAUUCAUCUUGUUUAUUUAGCCUAAUAAGGUUUGACUAACGUUAUAGCCUUCUAAGUUUAGCAUAAUUAAUCACAGGUGUUGCGCCAGUAGCCACUUUUCUCACAUGAAAAAAGAGAGGUGGGAAGUUUUUAGGGAGCUGGGGAUGGGAACCUUUAGUUUCAAGUGUGGAAUUCGACUACCAUACUCUAUAAAAAGACAUGACAAAAGUCUGAGAGUGUGUUAAGAGUUAGAAUAUGACAUAUAAGAAAAAAGUUUAGCAUAAUCCACAAACCAAAAAAAAAAAAAUCAUUAAUUCCAUUAAUACACACUAACUCGUCAUGAAGAAAAUCCAUAUGUAUGUGUGCGUAUGUGGAAGGUAGAUUGAGUUAUUUUUGUAUGAAAACAAAGUUAGAUUAAAGAUUUUGAAUAAUUCAACUAGAGGGAACAUAGGCACAUAAAUCACAACAAAUUUGGCAUUUAAUAUCAUAGAGUAAAGCAUAGAAACUAAUUUUUCAAUCUAGUGGGAGGCACGGAUCCUCUACUAGUUUCAUAUUGAAUCAUGCCAAGAAAUUAAUGAAUGAACAAGUGCAAUUUCUUGUGAAAGAACAUGAUAUCAGACAAUAAUAAUCUAGAAAAUUGAAAGGUAAAUGAGACAUCGAAUUUACAUAAUUCGGGGGUGUGAAUUACUUUUGGAAGAGAAGUAUCGAAUUUCAUUAUAGAUCUAGUGAAAGAAUGGACAUUAGAAACACAUUUGAGUUACUCAAACGUUUCUAGUAGCUUGUAUAGUGUUUAGCCCUCACAAUUCUUAACGAAACAAUCUCUCAAUCUUACAAAAGAAUACACAAAACUGAUCAAUGACAAAAGGUUUCUCCAAUUUAGGUGCAAAAGUGAACAAAACUCACGAGAAGAAUUUUUCUACACAUUCUUGGCACAAACCAAGGCACAAAGCCCCCCCCCCCCCCCCCCAAAAAAAAAAAAAACAACAACAGCAACCUAAUUAGAGAACCUAUAUUAAUCCCAGGAGACCGACUCCAAUACGAACUCAGGUUUCGUUCAAUGGUUUCAAUCUCAAGACAUAUUUAUCAACACAAACAAUGAUUAAUUGUGCACCCACUUUAUUCCCAACUGAUUUCUUAAAUUCGAUUUUUUAGCUAGAUGAAUGUGGCUUGCGUUUUGCCAGAUAGGCAUUUGUAGACAUAUCUAGUUUGGUUUGGCCUUACCCCGAACAAGCUUCUAAGAUUUGGUUUCAAGAUAUUUUGACGUGCUCUCAACAUGUGGCCGGAGGCAGGAACUGGUACCGAGGUUGCCGUGUGGGGCUCGUCAUGAGAACUAAAUUGAAACAGUUGCUCUCAAGCCCCAUCAACACGGUGAAGAAAGUGUCGUCCCCAUAGAGGUACUAUGAAAUUGGAUGCAUAUAAGCCACUCAAAGCUCAUGUGUCAUUAUUCCUUGACGGUAAUAUCUUCUGAGUCAUCAGUCAUCGUAGUUCUAAUAUUGAGUAUUAUCAGCAAUUAUUCUCGGUUCUGUCUGGUCAUAAAUCUUCGACUUUCAAUCUGUAAUCAGAUGAAUUAAGACGCUUCAAAGAAGGAAGCAUCUUAUUCAACAGAAGCAAUUGCGAAGAUGUUGAAGCUAUGAUAGAGCUUCUUGAGGCUUCACAUCUGGCUUUGGAAGGUGAAAACAUUUUGCAUGAAGCGAAAGCCUUCUCAACUGGGAUUCUCCGCGAAAGAGUGUCCAGUUUGGAUGGUCGUCUCUUCAAACGCACCGUCCAUGCUUUGGAGCUUCCGUUGCAUUGGAGGGUCCAGUGGUUCGACAUCAAAUGGCAAAUAAGCUUGUACGAGCAACGGGAGGACAAGGAAAGCAAUCUGCUUGAGCUUGCCAAGCUCAAUUUCAACACGGUCCAAGCCACACACCAAAGAGAUCUUAGAGAGAUAUCUAGGUAAUUUUAUAUGUAUAUUCACAAAUGAUAUAGAAAAUGUAGCGAUUCAUUUGACCAAGGUCAUCUGUUUAAAGGAUGUCAUGUUCUAUUUUCGACUUAUCUCAGGAUGAAAACUCAACAGACUCGGUCGCGAUAUAUAUGGUCUAAAUUAACCCUGGGAACGUGCCUAUUUUGAUGAUAUCUCUACCAGACAUGAUGUGAUUUUCCUAGCUUUUGAUUCUGAUUAGUUGCUUCGGUAAAUUCAGGUGGUGGAGGGAUCUGGGACUCAUGGAGCACGUGGACUUCACGAGGAAUCGGCUGGUCGAGAGUUUCUUGUGUGCCCUUGGACUCUCUCAGGAAACACGGCUCAGCUCGCUGGAAGAGUUGGAAUGCUUUAUACUGGUGAUCGACGAUGUCUACGACCUUUAUGGUUCGUUGGAAGAGUUGGAAUGCUUUACCAGCGCCAUUACCAGGUUGUCCACGAUGCCUCCCAAUCUCUUCCUUUCGUCUCUGUUCAGUUUAUUUUCGCUAACUGGAAAAUCUGAUGCUUCUAGAUGGGACUCGGAGCAGAUUCAACAGCUUCCCGAGUGCAUGAAGGUGUGUUUCCAAGCGCUUGACGAUGUUAUUCACGAGAUCGCUUAUGAUAUUGGCAAAGAUGAAGAUUGGCAUCGAGUGCUACCACAUCUUGCGAAAGCAGUAAGAGAAAACCAAAAUUUUUUUGUCCUUACAUAACUAAUCAUCUCUGAAUAAGUACUUUUUUUCCUUAUUUUUUCACAGUGGGCAGACUUUUGCAAAGCCUUACUUACUGAAGCAAAGUGGGACAAUAUGGGCUACACACCAUCGCUGGAAGAGUACUUGAGCAAUGCGUGGACGUCAUCUUCAGGACCACUGAUCAUGUCUCACGCUAGUUUCUCUGUGGGACAUAUGAAUUUGGAGGAUGUAGCAGAUUUGCUCGAGAGAAACAAGGAUCUGAUUUACAAUGUGUCCAUGAUAAUUCGACUCUGCAAUGACCUUGGAACGUCAACGGUAAUUAUCAAACUUCUCCGCCAAAGUUAUAUACCAACUGAAUUGGACAUGAUGUUAAGAAUUCUUAGCCUGUGAAAAGAAUCUUGUACUAACACGGCAUAUGGUGUAACUGAAUCAAGGAGAUCGAAUCCGAUAAGCACAUUAAAAUGAUUUACUUGUUCAAUUAGGCCGAAAGAGACAGAGGAGAUGCUCCAUCGUCAGUGGUGUGUUACAGGCGAGAAGCGAAUGUUCCGGAAGACGUCGCUAGGAAGCACAUCAAGGAAUUGAUAAACCAGGCAUGGAAAAGCAUCAAUGCUCAUUGCUUUGGCAAUUUCGAGACGCCCUUUGUCCGAACCUUCAUUGAUGCCACUGUGAACGCGGCUCGUGUUGCACAUAUGCUUUACCAGUUGGGAGAUGGUUUGGCGUCCAGGAUGGUGAUAUUAGGCGGCAAAUCUUAUCUGCAGUGAUCCACCCUGUCGCUCUUAACUGAGAUAAAGCGCAAAUGUAAUCACAUAGCAAGUGCAUAAGGUAGACUAGCUGCUGCCAGUCAAAAGAUUGAGUACUACACGCAAAUUGUAUCCUAAGCUGCAUAAUCAUCUACUUGGGUUUAAAAUGGUCAAAUAUCCGCAAGAUGUCCAUCUUACAACAUCGCACGUAGUAACUAUGUGCCUAUUCGGUCUGAUCCACAUGAAUCGCACUCUCAAAAGAGAUACUCGAGAUCAUAAUAAUCUGAUUGUUCUCAUCCGAUGCGACAUUGAAUGUUGUAAUGGCCAGUGGCGGUACAUUAUUUUCUCAGUAGAAUCGAAAUUAUGAUGAAACUUAUUCUAUUGAAUCAAGUUAAUUGCACGUAAAAAAAUAAUUGGACCGCAAUGGGUAUGGGAGAAUGAAUGCGUUUCUCAUAAUUUCUCAUCUUGUUAUAGGACGAUUUGCGAGGUUUUAUUGGGGGCAUCCGUUAUCCACUAACACGCAGCCUUAUCAUAUGUCAAUGCAUUUUCCCCUUGAAAGUUUGUCAUCUGGUCUCUGUCCAUAGAAAAUGCUUCUUCAAGUCAGUAGAUUUGAAUUUUAUGUCGUAUUGACAUGGUGAAAACGACAAAAUUUGCAACUUGCGUCAACUAAAAAUGUUAAGAAAUCAACCUCCGUCGUACUUGAAUUGAUUUUAAAGAGUAUCCUUUCCAUUAUAUUAUGACACCUAAUUUAUUGUGACCCAUUAAGAAUUCAUUGCGUAGAAAAAUUAGGGAUUGAUUUUGACCCCUAAAUAAAAAAUAAUAAUUAAAUUGCAUAUAGGUGUUAAGAGCAUUUUUAGCAUUAAACCCACAUAAACUGCAUUGAACUUGAAUUUCAAUCAUGCCCAUCAAAUUUCGUGAUGUGGCCGAAAAUUUCACAUGUGCAUUGCACAUAAGGUGUUGUUAACUAAGAGGGUUGGUUCUUUGAUCCAGAGGGCAUAUUCUUAAUAAUGAAAAGGGUAGACACCGCAAAUAUAUUCAAUAUCAGCUAAAUAUGUGUGAUUUUUUGCAAGAAAGGAGUAACGGGCGGAAAGAUAUGGCCACUCAUGGCAGAGAGAGAUUCACGGCCAGGUUAGAUGCAAUCAAGAGUGAAACAUGAUCAAGCCAAGUGUAUAGUCGGAAGGCAAAAUACAAAACGUAUGGAUGUGAUCUUUGGAAUGAGCAUAUUGGCCAUUAUUCAACCCAUAACCAAUUAGUGGCGGCUCUAAAAGGUAAGAAAAAUUGCAUAAUUAAAUCAAAUAUCAAGUUGUGCUUGAUAGGAUUUAGGAGAGCCCGUGCUAAGUACCAUGCUUAGUAAUCCAUUAAAUUUCUCUGGGUAGUUCAUCUCUAGAAAGGUUGUGACAUAUAUUAAACUUGAAGUUCAAUGAAAGGCCGUGUCGAUUUGACUCAACUUAGUCAUAAUUGUAGUUUCCUAUUUUUCAAAAAUACAAAUUUAUUAAUGUGUGUGGUAGGGACUUUAUCCCGAACUCAUCGCUUCGUGUUUGUCACUGUAAAUAUGACACGCCCGCACAAAUAAGAGAGACCAUACUUCUCUGUAAAUAAGACACGCCCACUACAACCAUGCUUCUUUGUUCCCUCCAUGUCCAUUUAUUUGUUAUGACCCAUGUUGUAAAAUUAAUGUGGAAAAUAUAGGAUUUUUCAAUUAAAUCAACAUGAAAGCAUCAAAGAAAUAAACGAGAACAAUAAAGGACAAUAAGUGGUUUGGUUCGAAUAUCAAUAUCUACUAUAUGGGAGCGUCAGUGAUAAAUAAUUCAUUAAUAAUUAGAGAAUCAAAGUUACAAUUACUUUUAUGCUCUUAAAAUAGAUCUAAAUUCACAGUAUUUAUAAAUAAGCAACUCAAUAUGGAUGUAAAGCUCAUGGCAAACAAAUCUUCGCGUUCUAACACAGCGGCCAAGAGAGAACUUCCCUAUGCGUCUCUUUUUAUACUUCAAGUCUUGACCAAAAAAUCUCAACAAGACCCACGAAGUCCAGCCUUUGUCUUGGUCAACCCUUUUUCUUGUAAAGGAAAAUUCCCAUUUUUUUUUGUGCCAUUUUCUUUAUGCCAUUUAGGGCGCAUUUGGUAAUGAUUCUAUUCUCGGGAGUAGAUUCUGAUCAGAAAUUAUUCUUUUUUAUUCUGUUCCCAAGAACAGAUUCUAAGCAUUUUAAGCCAUUUUGUAACUGUCUAAAAUUUCUGAUUCUGGAAUAAAAUUGUGUUUGGUACCGUGCUCAUUGAUUUUGUUCCAAAUCAAUUUUUUUGAAUUUUUAAUAAUUUUUUUACUUUUUACUUUUUUUCUUUUCUUUUUUCUUUUUUUUUUCUUUUCUUUUUUUCCUUUUUCUCCUAUUCUUCUUCUUCUUGUGGCUGGUCAUCGACGACCUCAUCGGAGCAUCGCCGGCCCUCGUCAACCGAGCCUCGCCGGUGGCCAGGCGGGCCUUGUCGGGGCUAGGCGAGGCUCGCCUGGCCACCGGUGGGACUGGGCGUCGCGAGGCUUACCCAGCCUCGUUGGUGGUCAUGCGGGGCUUGCUGGUGCUUGGCGAGACCCGCCUAGCCCUAGCAAGGCUCGUCCAGCCCCGCUGGUGGCCAAGCGGGCCUCGCCAGUGGCUGGGCUUGCCUCCAGCGAGCUCGCUGGACCUCGCCCUGGCCUGGCGAGCCUCCGGUGAGCUCACCGGACUGAUUGUCGGUGACGGGUGACGGCGGACGGUGGCGACCGCCGACGGCGGCGAACGGUGGCGAACGCCGGUCAUGGGAUGGCAUUCGAUGAAGAAGAAGAAAAGAGAAGAAGAAGAGUUGAUUUUGAUUUUCAGAUUUGUUCUAGGAACGAGAAUCAAUUUUUUUUUUUUUUAAUAUUGAUUCUAGUCCAAAUCUGUUCCCAGGAACAAAUUUGUGACAACUUGAAUUUUCAGAUUUCGUUUUCGAUUAAAUAAAGUGAGCCUUUCAUCGACGCGUCAAUAGUGCUAUUCUCUGAGCUGAUCACUUACGAGAUAACUAGACUAUCCGGGGAAGCAAUUAAGGAAUCUAAAUGCAAUGGACUUGAGAAUUUGACUAGGAAUCAACUGCUCAACCGUGUUGAUCUGUAAGGGUCAUUAUGGCACCAUCAAAAAUUGAUCAGAGAUCGGAGAUAGGUCGAUUCGAGUGAGAUAUGUGAUUGGUACGUGGGUGAUUCCACUUAAUUGCAAAAUUCUCGUCGAACGACACUAGAUCGAUUUUUCAGUCAUUUCUGUACUUGGUGUCCGUAUUUAAAACCUCGAAAUAUUCACGACAACCGAGAGUCGCCGAUGUGUCGAAGAUGCACGUUAUGACUUGAGAUAAAUUGAUCACGAGUCAAUUGCACUAAAAAUUCCUGAAAGUUAUCUGGUAGACUAGGUCACACUAAAAGCGCGCCGGAAUAAAAUUAACCACGAAUUUGAAUCCAAUUUUAGAAAUUGAGAGUUCUGUCAUGUCACAAUCUAUUUUAGGAACGUCGACUCAUCCUCUGAAGAAUUUUCGGAGAUUCCGAGAUUUUUACGGAAAAAUUGUUCCAACAUUGCGGAAAAUUAAUGAAAAUUCGUACAGGCCAAAUUAAAGGAAAUUUGGACUUCCAAGCCAAGCCUUUGGGUAUUGGGGACUUAUAGAAAAUUGUACGGGAUUUUUCUUCAGCGAAAUCGGACCCCGAUUUGGAGAAUCGGUGAAGAAAUUUAAGAGAAAUUGAGUGAAAUUCGGAUUUGGAAAAAGGGCAGCAAAUUUGGGCUUCAAAAUUUGGUUUAUUUGUGAAGAUAAUGCAAGAAAAUAUUAAGAGACAUAGGGAUAAGUUUGAGGGCUAAUUGGGGGAUCAUGCAUUUAAGAAUUUGGAUGAUCUUCAUUGACUUUGUCUUCUCUUCUUCAAAGGUUCCAUUUCACGCCUUGUCUGCCGCCGCCUCUCCCUCUACACAAGCUCCUGUCUUUGCUUCACUUUCACUCUCCUUCGCAUUUCAUUCCUUGAGCCACAAUUUCUCUUCAUUUUUGCCGACCACAUCAUCAUCAUCAUUUAUGCCAUCUCACAUCCAAAACUUCAUCCCUCUUCUCCACCAAAAGCCAACUCCAGCAGCUUCACGUUUGACGCCUCCUGCUGUUGCCACGUCCUGCAUCAAACCAACGCCAGCUGCUCCACUACUGAGUCAACCAGCAAAGCUGGUGUUGACCCCGUAAAUCCCACCAUUCUCCUUCAGUAGCUAGCUACACGAAGCCCUUACUGAAGCAGCUCACGCCGUCUUGCCUCAAACCAAAGCAGCUACCACGAAGACCGAGCAGUCCAGCAACUUCUUCAUUUCAUCCCUCCAUCCACCACUUCGCUUCUCUGCAACCGAAGACCCACGCUUCUCCGCCACGUUCCAGUCAAAAGCCAGCAUUCUCUCCACCAAGGUUGACCGAGACAACCCCACCGAUCCUCUUCCAUUUUCGAGUGGCCCAUCUUCGGUCUUCAUUCAGCCCAGCGAAUUUUCACCAACCCUAUUCAGCCGCUUGCAUUUCAGCCCAGCUUCCUCAACAUUGGAGAUCAGCCUAGCAAUUCAGCCCAUUCAAGUGCAGCUCAGGCCAGGUUCAGCAGCCCACAGAUCCAGCAAAUUUUCUGUCCAGCAUCUCCAUCAACUCCAGCCCAAAUCCAUAACAAAUCUCAGCUGGGGCUGAGAUUUGUUGGGCCAAGCUUAGGCCCGGUCCAAGCCCGUGGGUGUCGUCACGAGCCUAAGUUUGGCCACCGUCGCAUCGUCGUCGUGGUGAACCGAUUUCCGCAAUAAACUGGUGAGUUUAUGCACUAAACUCUUUUUAAUUUAAUUAUAAAUUAGGUGGUUAGUUAGAUUAAAUUAGUGAUUUAAUUAGUUAAUUGUGCAUGUUAGGUGGUUAGAUUAAAUUAAUCAAAGCCUAGAUAGGAGGUGCUAUUUAUCUAGAAGGGUUCGGGAAUUUUCUGGGCCCGUAUCAGUAUUUAAUUUAGUGAUUCUGGCCUAAGUUAGUAUUUUUAGAAUUUAAAUUGAUUUAUUUAAUUAAUUUCAGUAAUUAUUUAAUUAUUAAUUUUUUUUUUCCGGAAAUUAGGCUGGGGUAGCUGGUGACCGGAACUUCAUAUUGAUUGCAAUGGUAUGAUUAAUUUCUACAAUUGAAUGUUAAAUUGUGAAAAUUGAGUGCUGAUUGAAAAUUUGGUCAAUUAUUCCAAAAUUCGUGAAUUUUGGUAUUUAUUCAGAAAAUCCCAGGUGUUGGGUUUAAGCAUUGAAAAUGGUUUUAUAUACUAUAUAAACCAAUAGAAUUUUAAAAAGAAUGUCAUGAAUUUUCUAGGUCCAAUCGACCGUGUACCCACACAUGACUAUUUUCACCAAGUGUUUUUAAUACGAAGAAAAUAGGCCUGGAUCACUAUUUUAAUUGAGGCAUUUGAGUGCAAUGCACGGUGUCCUGAGCCGAGAUUGAUUGGUUGUAUGUUGAUUAAGAGAACCCGUCCCCGAUCUAUGUCGGAUUGACGUUACCCUUUAUGGGAUACCCAUUUAUUGGGAUUUGGGUCGCAGUAGAGGCUGGAUCUAUACUCCUUCGGGAAAGUCAUCUUUGAGAGACGUAACCAUGCCCAAUAGGGGUGAGACGAUGCUUGGCUAUGCCAGUAGAUCGCCAAACUUCUAGUAGGCUGUACCCUAGAGUGGGCGAAAUUAUCAAUUGGAACACAUGUUGAGUGGAAUAGAUGCGCCGGAUUAUGGAACAAAAUUGUGUGAUAUGGUAUGAGACGUGUCAUAACGAUUUGGCCCUAUAAUCUGGACCUCUGUGAUUUAUUGAGUUGAGUAGUGCGUUUCAAUUGUUGUGUGCAUCGAUUUUAUGCAUAAGGUGUAUAAAUUGUGCUGACUUGCAGGGUGUAACUGAGGCGAGGUAAGUCCUCUAUGCUAAAUGCGUGGUUAUGUGGUUAGGAUGCCUCUGGGCGUAUUUCCCUCCUAAUUGGGGUUUAGAGCGUGAACUCGCUGAGAUUUAUAUCUCACCUCGUUGUGGGCCAAAUUUUCAAGGUCAUUGAGUGGAGGACCUGGAGCCGAGAGAAGGUGAUCGGAAGUGUAGGUUAGCUAGGACCAUCUGUGACAUUCCAGAUUUUCGACCCUGUUUUCUACUGAAUCAAUCGGGCAUUUCAUUGAUGCGUCUAUAGGGUUGUUCUCAAAGUUGAUCACUCUCGAGAUAACUAGACUAUUCGGGGAAACCAUUAAGGAUUUUAAGGCAAAUAGACUUGAGAAUUCGACCAGGAAUCGGCUGCUCGACCGUGCUCAUCUGUCGAGACCAUUACGGCACAUAUAUAAAUCAAUUUGAGAUCAGAUAUAGGUUCAUUCAAUUGAGAUAUGUGGCUAAUCGUGGGUGACACCACUAAAUUGGAAAAUUCUCGUCGACCAACACUAGACUGAAUUCUCUAUCUUUUUGGUACCCUGUGUCCGUAUUUGAAUUCUCGAGAUUUUUACGACAAUCAAGAGUUGUCAAUGUGUCGAGUGGGUUCAUUGUGGUUCGAAGAAAAUCGACCACGGGUCAUUUGCACUAAAAAGUUUUGAAAACUACCCGGUAGUCUAGGUCACACUAAAAAUGCGUCGAAUGGAAAUUAACCGUGAAUUCGAGCCCGAUUUCAGAAAUUUAAAGUUCUGUAGUGUCACGAGCUAUUUUAGGAACGUCGACUUAUCCUCCGAAGAUUUUUCAGAGAUUCCGAGAUUUUUACGGAAAAUCGUUCGGGCGUCGUGGAAAAUUUACAGAAAUUAGUAUUGACCGAAUUUAAGUGAGUUUGGACUUUCCAGCUAAGCCUUUGGGUGUCGGGGACUCACAGAAAACUUUACGGGAUUGAUCUUCGUUGAAAUUGGAUUGAUUUGGAGAUUUGAGUGAGGAAUUGAAGUUAAUAUCGGUGAAAUUCGGAUUAAGGCAAGGGCAGCAAUUUUGGACUUCAAUUUGGUUUAUUUGUGAAUAUUAAGGUUGGAAAGAAAUGGGGGACAAACAAUAAAUGGGAUGGCUAAGGCUUGAUGAUUGUUUGGAUAAGGGCUUGACUUUUUGCUCCCCCUCUCCUCUCUUUCCUCUCUCGAAUGCAUGCUUUUCUCCACCUGCUCCUGCCGAUCUUUUCAUUUGCCUUCCCUCGAGCCAUCCCACUUUCUUCUUCACGUGCAGACUUAUCCCCCACAAGCUUUCACCCUCACGCCCACCAAUUUCUCCAGUUACUCUCUUCUUCAACCCGUGAGACUGCAACUCACGAACCAAGCGUGCUUCAGCCAUGAUUUGUUUUCACGCCGCCAGCUCUUGGUCAACAAACUAGCUGUAAAAUCCACUGAAGUUGCAUCUUUGACCACCGAAUCCUCUCCAUCUCUCGGGUUUUUGGAUCGCCACACACAGCACCGAGGACAGCCCAGCCACAACUAAAGAAGCUGCCACACGUCCUUCCCAGCGGCGACCGAAACCACGCGUCCUCACUGGUCAACCGAAGCCGCCCCCUUUGCCGGUUUGUUGACCCAGUUCCUUCGUCCUCUCCAGCGUUGAUUUUUGAGCUCGCUCGGCAGCAACAAUCGAACUGCUUCUUCGUGCAUCCCACUCGCUUGGCCAACUCCAGCAGCUUCGGCCAUUUGUCCGCGUGCUCCCAUCUUCUGUAACAACACACGCCAACCCACUUCUCGCUUCUACGAGACGUCCCCAAACAGCUCGAGCAAAAACAGCGUCGUCCGCAGCUCGAUGCCAACAAAUCCAACGCCUACAGCUUCAGCGUCUUCGUCUCUUUCUUCGCCAGCUCGUGGAUCGGCCCUGCAAUUGAAGCCACGGCAACUCCAGUCCACAAAGCAGGCCCGUGAAUCCAGUCAGUCUGCGGCCCAUGUGAGACUCUGCCCAGCUCCUUCGUGAGUUCAGCCGCAAGCCCAUUGGAAGCCCAUGAUUUCAGCAGUCUUCGGCCCAGCAGAUUCUUUUCUGGUUCAAGCCCAUUCACAGCAAGCUUCAGUCCAUUUGAAGCCCAUGUUCAGUCUUGAUUCAAGCCCAGUCUAGUGAAGUCCAGCAAGUUCUUUUGAAGCCCAAGCCCGCGAGGCAAGAUCUUUGGGCCCGGCCCGAGUGUCCGUUGACACCGCCGAAAGUUCGGAUUUCGGCCGCCGUCGCGAUGUUCCGAUCUUCGCUUUGCUCAAGUAAGUUUUACUCACUAAUGCUUUCUUAGUUUGCUAAUUAUGCUUAGGGGUUGGUUAGAUUUAAUUAAAUGCAAUUAGGUGGUUAGAUUAGUCUAGAACAAUUAAAUUAGUGACUUAAUGAUGCAUGUUAGGUGGUUAGACUUAGUCAUUAGCAAGUAGAGAGCUUCUAAUAUUUAUUGAAUGUAUCUCGGGAUUUUUCCUGAUUCGUUCUGGCGUCCAAUCAGGCAAUACGGGCCUAAAUUGGAUUUUUAGUAUUUAUUUAUUUAUUUAUUCGAAAUUAAUUAAUUAAAUAAUUAAUUUCCGGAAAUUCAACCGGGAUGGUUGGUGACCGGAAUUUUAUGCUGAUUGUCAUGGUGCAUUCCAUUUAUUUAAUUAAGCUUUAUUUUGUGCGAAAAUGAUUUAUUUGUGAAUUUAGGAUUUAUUCCCUAAUUUAAAUAAUCUUGGAAAAUUAAUUGGAAAUUAACCGGGCAUCAGUUAACGAUACCAAACAUGUUUUAGUGGACUACAGGAAAUGUGGGAGUUAUGGAAAGGAAAAUAUUAUAUUUUAGCUAAGACCGAUUGUGUACCCACACACGUCAUUUUAUCGGAAAGGAUAACAUUAGUUAUUUGAUUGUUUGCUUGAAAUGGCAUGUAUACCAGCUCGAUGACUCCACGGAGCAUCUUGAGACAGGACGGUAUGAUUACCGGCUCGAUGACUCUACGAAGUAUCUUGAGAUAGUACGGUAUGAUGAAUUGUGUGUAUACCGACUCGGCGACUUUAUAUGUCAUCUUAAGAUAGGACGGUAUGAUCUACCGGCUCGGUAACUCUACAGAUUAUCUUGAGACAGUACGGUAUGAUAUACCGGCUCGAUAAUCCUACAGAUCAUCUUGAGACAGUACGGUAUGAUAUACCGGCUCGAUAAUCCUACAGAUCAUCUUGAGACAGUACGGUAUGAUUUGAUAGCUCGAUGACUCUAUAUGUCGUCUGGAGAUAAGAUAACAUACUAUCUAUAUAUCACCUAGGGUGAGUAGUCUUAGAUAUUGAUCAGACUUAUAGAAAGUAUGGAAGGGGUCGAUCAAGAGAUAAUUUGGAUGACAUGUAAUCGACUAGGUCGAUUGAUCGAUAAUUCGAUCUGAUUGGGUGAGGUGAUGUGAUGAUGUAUAUUUGAUAUAUAUACUAACUUGCAGGAAUGAGCUGAGGCCAAGGUAAGUCCUCUGACUCGUGAUGUGCUUAGGUAGCCUAAGGUGUAUUGGUUUACUAAUCGAGUCUUAGGGGGUAGAACUUGCUGAGACGUGGUCUCAUUGGUUAUUGAAUAACCAUUUCAAGACCCUGAGGAGAAGCUGAGGAAGAGGAACCUGAAGAGGAGAAAGACGUUUAAAGAAGAAGAUGGUCCAGAAAUGGAUCUUGAGUAUAACCCGGAUGUAGAUUGAGAUCCCAUCCCUUUUGUGAACCUUGUCUUAGUAUAGAUAGGUGUGAGACUUGUUUGCUGUAAAUAGUAUCGUAAAUAUACUAUAAGUUGUGUUAUUAAUAAAAAUGUAGUUGUGAAUUUCAGUACUUAAAAAUAUGGCCUGCUUUUCUAUCCCAUUGUUUUAUUGUCUGGGGAUUUAUAACUGCUUCUGCAUGCGUAAUUAAUAAAAGAAAGGGUCGGCGAUACUUAGUCCUGGAAUAUCGCACUUUAAAAUCGACCAAGUAGAAGGAUGGGUGCAUCUCCGAAGAUCGGGGUAUGACACCAUCUCUUUUUGGAAAGUAAGUUUUUGUAGUCUUUUGGUCAUAGACAUUGUACAUGACUAUGUGAAUAUAAAAACAUGUUUGUUUGUGAAUAUGUUGUCCUGCUUUUCUAUCCCGAGAUGGUUACUGCCAAGACAUUUAUUUUAGCUUCCACAUGUGCAAUAAAACGAAAAGAGUCGGCAACUCGUCUUGGAAAGUCGCAAAAUUUUAUCGACCAGAGAGGGAUGGGCACAUGCUCGAGGUUCGGAGCGUGACAAAUUUGUUCCCGGAAACAAAAAUUUUACCAAACGCAAUUCUGUUCCAAAACUACUCCUGAAAACAAAAAAUCAGAAUCGGGUACUAUUUGGCAUAUUGCCAAACAACCCCUUAAUACACUCUUGCAACGGGGAGAUUCUAAAACCGUUUUGAGAUUUUUUUUCCUCAACAAAUUCAGUUUAUCAUAUGGAUUGGAUCCUCCAAUCGGAUCGAAUAUCAUAUAGGGCUCAAACUCGAUAUGUUUUUUAAUAACUCCUUAGGUCAUAAUGGACUUUUGACCAAGCAUAAAAGUCAGAAUCUCCAACCUCUUUCUCUAUUCCCACUGACCUCCCCAUAUCGAGUUACUUAGUCCAACUCUUCACUUAUUUCCCUCGUGGGAAAAUCCCAAAAGUCCUAUCUUUUUCAUAUGCAAUUUUUUUUUCCGAGAAGCAGUGUAGUUUUAUCUCUAAAGGUGUUUAUGGCUUGCAGUCUUCUUCUCCAACAAUUUUUAAGUAUGUUGCAUUCAUGAAGUAGAUGUCAAUGGCCUUGAGACUGACUAGGUAAUUACUUGUUCUAGCUUUGUGGUUUAUUAAUUUCUAAUUUGGUGCAAUACAUCUUUAGCACAUGCUAAUUUCAGACAAAUGAAGGGAAAAGGGAAUUUUGCCAAAUUGCUUAAACAGGCUCAACUCGCUCGACUUGUUAAGAGUGAUUGAUUUCUGGGUGAGUUGGUCCUGACCUAGAACCACGAAUUGAUCCUAUGGCUCUCAGUUCCAAAUUUUUAGAAGCGAGUCAGUUUGGAGGGUUUUAGAAUCAAGAAUGGGGAUAAAAUACAACGAUUCGAAACUAUAUUUUAUGUUUUUUUAAAUAAUUUAUUAAUUUAACCAAAUAAUUAAAAGAAAGAUAUCUCAUUACUUUUUUGAGUCUUAGUGGGACAAAAAAACAUUUUCCCCAGGCAAGUGUGCAGAGAGGGAACUAAUACACACCACAAAGAAAAUAUUUUUGGCGGCUUUCCUUUUCUUUUUAUUAUUAAAACACCCACAUCUCACUCUCUCCAUUUCUCUCUACUUUCUCUCUCACCUGCAUUAAGCACCCAGUGGUUCCUCCAUUAAUGAACCUCUUUCAUCUUUCUCUUUCACCCUCAGUUUCCACAUGAUGAGCUGUCAUGCCCUGAUCCUCAAGCGUGUGCCCAUCCCUCACUGGUCGAUUUAACAGCGAUGUCCUAGGACGCAUCGCUGACCCAUUCAUUUUAAUAUAUACACGCGAAAGCAGAUAUAAAUCCCCAAAUAAUAAAAUAAUAGGAUAGGAAAGCAGGGCCAUAAAAUUUCAAACCACACAACCACGCUUAUAUACAUACAUACAUAGAAGACUAUGUCAUAUAUUAUACAAGUUGGUCUAGGUAUAUAAAAACAUAUACAUUACGGUAGGUUCUCAAACAGGGGCGGGGGGUCUAAUAACCAUAACUAUUCAUCAUCGCUAAAUUCUUCCUCCUCCACCUCCUCAUCCUCAUCAAUCUCCCCUUCUUCCUUGAUCUAGUUAGUGGCUUCGGCUGAGUAUACCGGAGAUUCAUAAUCACCUUCAAGUUUGGGAUCCUUAGCAUCCACUAUUGAUACUCCCCUCAGGAUCUACUGUGCCCUUCCCGAGCGCAACCUCCAAGACAUACUGAGGUACAUCAGAUUCCAGCACAAGAUUCUCCCUUCGCCCGUCAUGAUAGUGACCAUACCAUGAUCGGUAUUUAUGAGGCACCUUUUUAGGUUCACCCACGUCGACCCAGACGGUGGAUUUCACCAUUACAUACUCCAAUCCUUCAGGGUGAGGGUGUAUCGAAAUAUGAUAGCCUACUUCUAUGACUUCCUUCGGCAUACCAAAAUGCACGGGAAGAGGGGGAGAUGCUGCCAGCUAGGGACCUGAAAUAUUGUCCCACAACGAGGUGAGACUACGUCUCAGCAAGUUCUACCUCCUAAGACCUGAUUAGGAAGUCAAUAUGCCCUAAGGGCUGUCUAAGCACAACCUGAUCAGAUCGAAUUAUCGAUCAAUCGACUCAUCGAUUACAUGUCACCACAAUCUUCCUCUAGUCGGUACAUUCAAUACUAUCUAUAAAGUCCUAUUAAUUCAGGAUUACUCACCCAAAGCUGAAAAUAGAUAGUAUAGCUCGCUCAAAGCUGAUAAUAUAAUAUAUUGUAUAUAUGCUCACCCAAAACUAAUAGAUUAAGGCCCUCAGGCCAUCAUAGUAUACUAUAUAUGCUCGCCCAAAGCUGAUAAUAAGGUAUACUGUUUACCCAAAGUUGGCAUAUCGCUCGUAGGCUAAUAUAAUAUACCGGUAUACUGCUCGCCCAAAACUAACGUAUCGCCCAUAGGUCGAUAUAGUAUACCACUCCAAUCAUAUAGUCAAUUCAUCAUUUUUAUCAUACCCGAUAAAAAUAGCCGUGUGUGAGUACAUGGUCGACUUUAGUAAAAAUAUUAUAAUUUCACUUCCACAAUUCCCACUAUUUUAUAUAGUCUACCAAAAUAUUUGUGGCGUUGUAAACCAACGCUCGGUUAAUUUUCAAUCAAUUACUGAAAUAAUUAAUUUAGGAAUAAAAUCUUAAAAUCACAAUUAAAUCAAUUCAGUCCAAUUUAGAACUUAAAUAAAUAAAAAGACUACACAAUAAUCAGCAUAAAAUUUUUGUCGUCAACUAUCCUAGUAUAAUUUUCGGAAAAUAAAUAAAUAAUUAAAUAAUUACGGAAAAUAAUAAAUAAAUGCAAUAAAUCCAACUUAGGCCCAUUAUAGCUAAUUGGAAGCCGAAAUGGACCCGAAAAAAUUCAAAGGUUUGUUCAAUAAAUAAUAGCAUGAGUCUACUUACUAAUGUCACUAACUAACCACCUAACAUGCAUCGGCAGAUAAUUAAAUUAACUAAUCUAAUCUAAUCUAUCCACCUAAACCAUCAUUAAUUAAUCUAAUCAACCUCUAAGCAUAAUUAACCGAUUAAGCGGUGACUAGUGAGUUCAACUCACUUGAUUUGCGAUCCGUCCGGUUCAAAACGUCGGGAACGCAACAGGGAUUGGCUUUUUCCAUAAUGGGCCGAACUUUCGAGGCUCGGAACCACCUCAAAAUGGGCCUACAAGCUUGCUGGAAAUCCAUAAAAACGCUCUCCGUUUUAGCUGCAAAACAGAGGAAACAAAGCUGGUUCGGUGAGGUAAAGGCAACGGUGGACCGGUGGGGGCUUUGGUGGCUUGGAAGGGCGGUGGCAGUGCUCACGGUGGCAGCAAGAGCUCCGGCAGUGGUCCACGAGCUUCGAAGGACAACAAGCAAGGCUGGAACGCACACGGGCUAGGCGGUGGCGCGUGCGGCACGCAAAUGGGGGCGGUAGUGAACGAUGGCUAGCGGUAGCUUUCCGACGUGCGACGGCAGCUUUGACGGCGUGAGGCUGCUCCUGGCUUGCUGCUGGCGUUCGAACUGGCUAGGAGGAGGGGAAUGGAGUCCUGGUCGGCAGCCUUGGAGAGGAAGAAGGAGAUGAGGGGGACAAGGGGUCCACUUGGCCGAUUUCUUCUCUUCCAUGGUCUCCUUGACCAUUCCCAGCUAACAGCUCCUCCUUAGCUACAAUUCAGCCACCCAUGCCCAUUCUACAACUCUUGAAUUGGUCCAAAAUGGUUAGGCAAAGGGGGGCAUACGAAUUUGACACAAAUUUCUCUCAAUUGGACACCCAUUCGUGCUUAAUUCAAUCCAAUUCGGCAUCAACAAAUCCCGUUGUCGAGUCCUCGACCAAAUCAAUAUUUUUCCUCACAAGUAUAACUCACUUGCUUCCCAAAUUUGCGAUAAAAAACGAUUUUAAGCAUGAUUUAAGUUACCGGGUAGGUUUUAGAAAUUUUUAGUACAAAUGACUCAUGGUCGAUUUUCUUCGAGCCAUUAUGAACCCACUCGACACAUUGUCGACUCUCGGUUGUGUGAAAAUCUCAAGGAUUCAAAUACGGACAUAGGGUACCAAAAUGAUAGAAAAAUCAGUCUAGUGUCAACCGACGAGAAUUUUCCAAUUUAGUGGUGUCACCCACGAUUAGCCACACAUCUUAGUUGAGUCGACCUAUCUUUGAUCUCAAAUCGAUUUUUAACUAUGUUGCAAUGGCCUCUAAAGAUGAGCACGAUUGAGAAGCCGAUUCCUAGUCGAAUUCUCAAGUUUAUCGCAUUAAAAUUGCUUAAUGGAUUCCUUAGAUAGUCUAGUUAUCUCGAGAGUGAUCAACUCUGAGAACAGCCCUAUUGGCGCGUCGACGAAAUACCCGAUUUAUUCAAUAGAAAACAUGAUUGAAAAUCUGAGAUGUCACAUGAGCUUUACUUUCAUCUAACUUCAAUGUUAUGGUGACUUUACUUUCGCCUAGCUUGGCUAUGUGCAUGAGACCUUGGUGGUGGUUGCAUGAGAGAGGGAGGUGAGCAUGCCAAACGCAAGAAAGGGAGGCAAGGGCCGUUGAUUGUCGAGCGUGAGAAAGGGUGGUGGGAAGCUGAGGUAUAAAAGAAAGAGAAAGAGCUCUAAUUUUUAUUGAGAUUAACAUUUGGCAAGUUUCGUUGGUUUGGUUCAAUUCAGCAUGAGGAACUGGGAAUCGGGUUGGUAUUGGGUUGGAUUAGACCAAUGCACACUCCUAGGUCUUGUGUGGGCUUAACCUUGAAAGUUCAGCAAGUUCAGGGCCCAAAUUCAAUGUGGGAUCACAUAUUGGGCCAAUUCAAUGCAAUUCAAUGGAAACACAUUAUUCACAAAUAAAAAUGUUCCAAAUUUUUAAAUAUAUAUGAAUAUAUUAGAGAAUGAAAAUGUAAGACAAUGCAAAAAGUGAUGGGGCAGCGCUAUUUCCAUCCUCAUUUUGGUUAAGAAACUAUUUUUUUUUCAAUUAACCAGCCAAAUUAACCUUCUUUUUCUCUUCAAUUUACUGUUUUUUUUUAUCAUGCUAAUAAAAAAAAAAACUGCAUUUAUCUCUGUCAUCUCUCUCAUCAAUUUCUUAAUAUAAAUGUCCAAUUACAUCCAACAAGAUAUCAUAUUAUCUUAUAUCCUAUUAUCACUUUGUCUAGAGAAGAUUGUUAAUUUUAAUUCACAGUCUCAUAUUUAAUUCACAAAAGCCACAUAGAAGAUGUUAAAUUUAUAUUUCUAAUGACUUAUGAAUACACAAUUAAUUGCUUAUUUUUAAUCAAAUAGUUUGAGAAAACCUUUGUUUCAAAGUUGAGAAUUAAAAUUCAAUCUAAAUAUCUAGCUGAUCUUGUCCUUGUGGCUGUUUUUCCGGAAUAAUAUCUUCUAAAGUUAAACUUUGUUUAUUUUGUGCUUUCUUUUGAGUUUUUCACAUUUUAAUCUAAAUUGCAAGAUGGAGGUUGAAAGUCUUGUUACACAUUCUUCACUUUCAAACUCACAUUAGAUUAUUUAAGAGAAAAGUUUUAAUCAUAUUUUAUACUUUUGAUCCACUUGUUUUGAGAUUGAAUCUACAAUCUGUAAUAUUUGGCUGGUGGGCUCAAAAGAAGAAAACAAAAGAAGGGUUGAAAGGUCAAAAGAAAAAAAAAAAAAAGAAAGGAAAGGGAAAAAGGGGUGAGCAGUGGUUGCUCACUUUAAAGAGCCGAACCGCCUUGGGAGAAAGAGAAAAGAAAGGAAAGAAAGAGAAAAGCACAAGAAGAAGAAGAAAGAAGGAAAAAAAAAAAGGGAAGAAAGGAAAGGGAUUUUGGUACGUGCAUGCUGCAAAUACCUCACCAAGCUGACUUGACUCCAUAACGCAGUGCUUGGUAAAGAUUAGGCCCCUCGUUCGUCCAAUAGAAGAAAUUUACGGGUUCAGAGCUCAAAUUCAGAAAUUUUGGAAAAUCAAGCGGCGAAAUCUGAUUUUGGAGUUGUUGAGCCACAUAUUUUCAUAGAAAUCAUAGUUUAGGAUGUCGUGGAGCAAUAGGAUAUUACGGAUCAUGAUUUGAGCUUAUGGUUUGUUCAAAACAAAAUUUCGAAAUUUCUCGCGCACAGUGAACAGUAAGCGUCCAGCAGUUUCAGGCCCAUAUUUUGUCAUUUUUCGGCUUGAUUUUGGGACGGUCAAGUUGAGAUUCUUAUAGUAUGUUUGAAGGACUUUCUUUUGACUAUAAAUAUGUUCGGAAUGGGGUUCGGAGGAGGAAGUUAUUGUGUAACUAAGUUUUGCACUUAAACUCCGUGUUACGAACAACUUGAACAAUCACUUUGUUAUGUGAUUUGUUAGCGCGUAGGAGUCCUUUUGUUAGAGUUAAGGUAUAAUUUAGUCAUUUUGUAGUUGAGAUAGAGUUUUAUUUGAUUUUAACAUUAUUCCUCGGUUAUCUGAUAGGGUCGUGAGUUGGACGGUACAAGUAUCGUUUGUCAUUUGGUCAUAAAAAAUGAGUGGUACUAUAUCUUCUUUAGUUUUGUAAAACCAUGUCUUGAAGUAUAUAUGUAUAUGUCUAUUGAAUUGAGGAGCAUUCUUAUUGCAUAAAAGCUGGAUCGAGCAUUUGCUACUAUUGGAAGUGCUAUUUUUGGGUAUGGUUUAAGGAAAUGGUGUAUAUAGUUAUUGCUAGUGGUUGGAUUAGCUGAAUUCUAAUUGUAUAUAUAUAUAUUUUUUGGUGGAGUAUAGAAACUCUAAUAUUGCAACCAACUUGUUGAUUUAUUUGAUAUGUAUAUAUAUGGUUUGAGAUAUAUAUAUUAUAUAUAUGUUGAUAUUAGGUUGUUGGUUGUAUUUAAGGUUGCAUCCUUCGUGUGGAAGGACAUCUGAGUUAUCCCCAUUCUUUGUAGUUUUGGGGUGUGACACAAUUGAUAUUAAUUACUUUCUUUAUUGUCGGAGUCAAACGACAAGAAAUUCCUUUCAUUUUUUUUUCCUUUUUUGCUUAUCUUUUGUUAAUAUCUAGAUAUAAAUUAAUAUGUUUAACAUUUGAUCAUGCUUCUAAAAAUCAACCUUUUUCAUAUUUUGAUCAUUUUUUCUCUUCAAAAUUUGAUAAAAAAAAGUCAUAAACCUUUUGUUUUUGUAUCGAUUUAGUUCUAAACAUUUUUACGUUGUGCCAAUUCAGUUCUUUCCGGCCAAUUUUGGCCGGAUUUUGCUAAUUGCACGCUAACUGGCUAACGUGGCUUGAUCAGUGCUGACGUGGACAACUUUUAAUAAUAUAUUAAUAUUUUUUAUUUUUUUGACUUUUUAUCAUUUUUUUAUUUUUUAUUUUUUCUUUCUCUUUAUUUUUCUCCUCUUCUUCCUCCAGUCAAUCGUCGAACCUCGGCGACCGGCCAGAGGUGACAAUCGGCCACCUCGCUAGUGGCCGUGAGGGCGGCCUCGCACGAGGCGGCAAGAGGCUCGACCCUCGCCAGAUCCGGCGAGGGCGAGCCUCGCCUGCCUGACGUGAGGCCGCCCUCGAGGUCUGGGCGACGAGGCUCGCCCUCGUCAGAUCUAGCGACGAGUUGGGGUUCGAGUUGGACUUCAUCAACAGCUCGCUCUUCACCUUCUGCGAGCUCGUCUCCAGGGAGUCGUUCUUCUCUUCGAAGAAGGUGGGGUACCUCGCUGCGAGGUUGGAAUUCGCGGCGAAAGCGAAGUUGCCCCCGCCACCGUUGAGGCGAGUGGAGGAGCUCGAUGGCUCGAGUCGAGGCGAGCCCGAGGAGCGCCGUGAAGGAACUGGCCCUCUCUGGAGGCGGAGCCAUCAAGUGCUGGAGAUCCUCAGGGAGCAUCGACUCCAGUGCAGCAUCGGUUGAUCCAGCUAGGGUUAGAGCUGUUGACUCCAUCGGGAAUCGACUUCGGGAGCUGAUCGAAUCGAGCUGGCCUCCUCGCGCUGAGCUAGCGGGGCUCGCCCUCAUUGGCCAUGGGCGAAGCUCGACCCUCGCCAGAUCCGGCGAGGGCGAGCCUUGCCGCCCCGGCCUCAAGGGCGGCCUUGCAACGCCGGCGAGGCUCGACCUCGCCAGAUCCGACGAGGGCGAGCCUCGCGGCCACUGGCGAGGUGGCCGGCGAGGUAGAGGUUGACCUCGCCGGCCGUCGCCUCUAGUCGGUUACCGAGGUCCAGUGACCUGCUGGAGGAAGAAGAGGAGAAAAAAAAAGAAUAAAGAAUAAAGAAUAAAGAAUAAAAAUAUUAAAAUAUUAAAAUAUUAAAAAUAUUAAAAAUAUUAUUAAAAUAUUAUUAAAAGUUGUCCACGUCAGCACCGAUUAGGCCACGUCAGCUGACCAGCGUCCAGUCAGCAAAAUCCAACCAAAAUUGGCCAGAAAUGACUGAAUUGGCCCCACGUAAAAAGGUUUAGAACUAAGUCAGCACCAAAAAAAAGGUUUAGGACUAAAUCGGCAUAAAGACAAAAAGGUUUAGGACUUUUUUGGCACUUUUCCCAUACUUUCUUUAUUGUAUGAGUCAAACGACAAGAAAUUCCUUUCAUUUUUUUUUCCUUUUUUGCCUAUCUUUUGUUAAUAGCUAGAUAUAAAUUAAUAUGUUUAACAUUUGAUCAUGCUUCUAAAAAUCAACCUUUUUCAUAUUUUGAUCAUUUUUUCUCUUCCAAAUUUGAUCAAGAUUGACUAGACAAUUAUAUUGAAUUUUAUUUUUGCACUUUGAAAUAUAGUUUCUCUCAAACUACUUUAUAAAUAAAAAGGCAAUUAAUUGUGUGUUCAUAAGCCGUCAAAACUAGAAAUUUCUAAUAUUUUAUGUGGCCUUUGUGGUUAAAAAUAUGCUACCGCCAAGUGAAAUUAACAACUUUUUUCUAGGCAAAGCGGAAUAUGAUGAUAUCUUGUUGGGUGUAAUUGGGCAUUUGUAUUAUGAAAUUGAUGAGAGAGAUGAUAGAAAGAAAGACAAUUUUGUUGGUUAGCUUAUAAAAAUCAAGAAAAAAUAAUUGAAUAGAAAGAAAGGGUCAGUUCUUGGUUCAAUUCGAUCUUAAACUUUUUAAUAAUGCUAAUUGAGUCCUUAACAUUUUCAUUAUUUCCAUUUUUUGUAGACAAUUGUUGACAUGGACGCUAAUUAUUUUACGUGGCACAUUUGAGGUCGAUGUUGAUAAUUUUUACAUUUUUUUUUUAAAUUUUGCAUUUUAAAUAAUUUUUUAUUUCAUUUUUCCUUUCCUUUUCGUUUUUCUUCUUCCUUCGCUAGUCACCAUGCCUUAGCAAUGGCUGGCGAUCAGCCACUGGUGAUACAUAAAUUUUAACUACUCAUUUAGUAAUAAAUUGUAUAGAAAAUUAGGGGUUAAACUUUAGCCCCUAAACAAAAUAGCAAAAGGGAGGGGGGUGCUGAGAGAAAGUGAACUUCGUUUUCAACCAAGCGUUGCCCGGCAAUCUCGCCACAAACUGACGACUUCUAGCUGACACCACGUUUGUGGCCUGCUCUUCCACAACGCCUAAAUUUCCAGUGAGGUUUCUCUGGGUUCGAUCCCCUUAUAUCUCAAGGAUACUGGCUUAGAGACAUUGAGGUGACUGACCAUAUCUCGAUUUGCUUUGGGUUUGCCUUCUAGCUGUCGUUGCUGAAAUGAGUAAGGACCCAUGGUCGAUCCCCUUUAGGUGCUUUCUUCUUCCCCCAACUCGGUCAACUGGGGCCGAGACUCGUCGGCGCCGGCUCAUACUUGAUUUAUAAGCUUGUUCGUGUGGGAAUUGGAUCUGCAGAAAUCAGAGGAAUGCUUGACCAGGAAGAGGGUGAAAGAAUUUAGAGUUUAGGAUUUAUCAACAUAAGAAGGCUCGACAAAUUUGAAGCUAAAUCCUAAACCAUCGAUUGUUUCGUGAAAGCAAUGUACGAGCGUCUACCAAGUUGAUGAACUGGUAGCUCCCAAAAUCUGAGUUCUGCUUGCGUAUACAUAGAAAGCACAAAAAUGAGAUCAAGUAGAAGUCCAGCUCUAUCUUUUCCAGAGGCCCCUCCUUUCAGUGCAUUCCUGCCUGAGAUCCAUACAAUCAACCAUAUUAUUUUGCAUCAGUCGACAUAGUUUGAAAAGGGUUUCGAACGUUUUUAGCACAUUUCAAUCUUUUAUGAGGUCCAGUGUCUUCUAAGUCCUAACGACAGUGCCGGACUCAUUCUUUCUCAUAAAUACUAAAGUGAUUAGCAGUCUAUAGAAGUACAAGCAGGGCCUUUGCGAGAUAGAAUGGUUCAGAAGAUUACAGGGAGCCCAUGAAGAUGACCAAUGAUGUUAUUCAAAGCCCAGCUUUCAGCUUUUGGGCCGACCACAAGCAAUCUUAUUGUGGAGCAAUGUAAAACCUACUAAAUCAAUGAUUGUCAUUCACAUAAUUCUAAUUCGAUUAGGUAAGAAAAAUUUCAAGAAUCAUCCUCCUAAAAAGCAGGAUAUAUCAUCCUACAAGUGCGAACCACGUGAAGGAUAGGGUAAAAUGACAAAUUAUAUUUGAAGUUUAUGUAAAUGAAUAAACGGGGCUGGCACGGGCCCAUGGCUUGGCGCCAUGCACGGGCCUGGCCCUAUGCACGGGCCUGGCUAUGCUUGAUCAACUAAAAGGGCAACAUGGGCAGGCGAUGGCUAAGAAUUCCAUUCAUGAACCGAGCCCUACCCACUUCAGGCUACCCAGGCCUGAUGAAUGUUAUGUAGAGUAUUGAAAAGCUUUUAAUCAUUGAGAUAUGAUAGGACGUCGUGUAGUGGGGGUGUCCAUUGGCCUAGUCCAAUUCGUGAAUUGGAUUAGACUGGGCCAUGGUUGGUUGGUUCUAGGUAGUUCAUGUGGGAAUUGGUUUGGUUUCUGAUUCUUAGAAAGGAAUUGGACUAAUUGAUCUGAACCAGCGAAACCGGUCCACAGUGUAUCAUUAAUUUUUUAUUCACUAAGGGAACAAAGUACAUGUUAUUUGUAGGAGUAAUUUUUUUAUUUACUCGUAACUUCCCAUGAUUACUAAUUUUACCCAACACUAUAGUAACUUUCAAUAUAUAUAUGAACUUUAGAAAGAAAGUAAAAAUUCUAAAAAAGUAACACCGUUAGUUCUUGGGACAGCUUGGGAACUACACAAAGGCUACCUGGUUUUUCAGGUGGAUAGGGUUGGUUCCUAGUUCCAUAGACUGAAAACUAAUCUUGUCUAGUUUGGUUCUCGAUUCUAGAGAGAGAUAACCUCUAUGGUGUAGGGAUUUUCAAGCAUUGUGCUACCUAUUGAUUAAGUCUUGUGUAGUUACUUUUUUUUUCCCCACAAAUUGCGUGGUUUGAAAGUUUAUGUAGAAAACAUCACAAAGCAUGUAAUGGAGAUUCAAAUCUUGUCGGCAAUUGAUUCUAUCAUUAGAUCUACUUGUCCAUCAUGAGCAAAUUAUUAAAAAGUCCUAAGCUUAUUGUACUUAUAUCAAUUUAGUGUUAAACAUUUUAAUUGCGUUAAUUGAGUCAUUAACAUUUUCAUUAUUCUCAGUUUGUGUAGACAAUUGCUGACAUGGAUGCUAAUUAUUUUACAUGGCACAAUUGACGUUGACGUUGACGUUGAUAAUUUUUACAAUUUUUUUUAAAUUUUAAAUUUUAAAUAAUAUUUUAUUUUUUUGGUCCUUUCUUUUUCGUUUUUCUUCUUCCUUCACUAGUUAGCAUGCCUUGGCAACGGCAGGCGAUCAGCCACUAUUGACACUCAUUUUAACUAUUCAUUUAAUAAUAAAUUGUAUAGAAAACUAGGGGUUAAACUUUAGCCCCUAAACAAAAUAGUAAAAAGGAAAGGAAGAGGGGGAUGGGCUGUGAGAAAGUGAAGUGAACUUUGUUUUCGGCUGAGUGUUGCUCGGCUAUCUCGCUGCAAACUGACGACUUCUAGUUGACACCAAGUCCGUAGCCUGCUCUUCCACAACGCCUAAAUUUCUAAUGAGUUUUCUUUGGGUUCGAUCCACUUAUAUCUCAAGGAUACUGGUUCGGAGACAUCGAGGUGACUGACCAUAUCUCGAUUCGCUUUGGGUUUGCCUUCUGGCUAUCGUUGCCGAACCGAGUCAAGACCCACGGCCGAUCCCUUUUAGUUGCUUUGUUCUUCCCCCAUCUCAGCCAACUGGGGCCGAGACUUGUCGGCGCCGGCGCAUACUUGAUUUUGAGCUUUGCAGAGUUGGGGUCGGUCACCGUGGCAUGUCGUUACCUACUCUGUGUUGAUUGUCGAUUUUGACCCUAGCUCUAAUCGACUCCAUCUCGCUUUUCCAGUUGGUGCCCGCCAUGUGUUUUUUGAAAUGCCACAAUGACACAUAGUUUUAGUUUCCUCAUUUUGGAUGAAAUCAAGUUGGCCGCACAUGGCCUCGUUUUGUCAAAGUGUUCCGGUGAUGUUUGGUGACCCUAGGCAUCGGCCAUUUAGUCGUUUGCCACAUGUUCCUACUUUUGCCAUUGUUUUGUGUCAAGAAUAUAAUGCGAAAACGCUAAUGGACUUUGCAAAUGAACUAAUGUGAAAUUACAAGAGAAAUAAACAAGAAAUAAUAAAGAUACCAGAGAUUUACAUGGUUCGGUCUGAGUAUUGGCACCUAUAUUUACAUAAAGAGUUAGAGCAAAUCGUAAUAAGAUAAUUACAGGACUAUAAUUGUUUACCUGCUCAAAUAUUUCCUAUGCCUAAAUUACAUCCAAAUUCACAUUGUACUCAAUUACAUAUAAGAUCAUAGUAUAAAAUCACUGCAUGUUCAAGCCCAAAAUCAAAACGCUCGUCUAUGGCUGGAAACAAGGUGCGUUCCUUUUCUUUCCCUUCGAGCAACCGUGGCUUCUUCAUUGUAGCUGUUCAGAACGGGGAGCCCACAGUCUUCUGUUUUCCUUUUUGCAUGCAUGCGGCUACUCAGGCAAAAGAAAUAAUAAGACCAAACCCUUGUAGGGACCAUUUUGCUCCCACAGGUGAAAUAGAUAUGAUAAAAUAAAGUUUCCCGACCCCAGUAGGUUAAUGGCAACUUGUUAUUUGAAAAUUCUCAUAGUAUCAGUUUGACUUGACAUCAAAUAUCUUAAUGUUGCACAAUGUAUGGGCCUGAGAAAAUCCGCACCUAAUUGAGGGUUGUAAGCCUGUUUUUUAGGCAAUUCCCUUAUACUUAUGUAAUUUCCGGUCUGGACAGAAAAGUUAAGUCGCGAUAACCACAGGAGAGAGCCAGCAAGGUUCUACCUCAGCCCAAACCCUGCUAGCUCGAGCUGCGAGCCUCAGGCGAGGCUCCACCUCUCUAGAUCAACUGAGGUCAAGCUUGCACACCCCAGCGAGCUCGAGCAUUGCCUUGCUUCGCUGGCCUCUGAUUCUGAAAGCUCAACCAACAGAUUCCCUCGUGCAUCACAUUCGCAUUUGGCUUACUGUGGACGCGUGACCCUAAGCUUCUGUGUGAAGACGUUCGAAUGGUGCAUCACUUUUGCAUUUGGCUCAUUAUAGACGCGUUGUCCUAAGCGUCUAGCGAAUACUUGAUCGAGAGACACUCAAAUGGCGCACAACGGGCCAUGUCGUGAAAAUCAUGGCAUGUCUCUUUCACACUCCUCAGAUGACUUCUCCGUGGCUGCUGCCUCCAAGUCAACAGGAGGACACGGUAGUGCUAACACUUCCAUGUAGUAGUCAGACUCAUUCCACUGAUGUUGCCAGCUUAUUUGGAAAGUUUUGAUGUCAUAUCUUAAAUGCUAAAAGUGAUGGGGAAAGAGAAGACGAAUGGAGGAGAGGACGAUGCGUAUUCUUUUAUUUGUUUCUUAUAUUUUGUUUGAUUCUCUAUAUCUCUUAGAAUUGUGUAUAUCCAUAAUUGAUUUUGAUAGAUAUUUUAUUACCCUGAUAUUUUAGAUAGUCUCAUCUAAUAAAACAUACAAUGCUUGUAUACGUUUUAUUGGAACACAUUGAAAUAUACAGAAAGUUCACAUUUCUCUUCUGCAUAUAAUUAAUUAAUUAUUUAUUUAUCUUGAUAUAAGAAUUGAGUGAUCUUGAGGAGGGAAAAGUGCCAAAAAAGUCCUAAACCUUUUACUAAUCUCGCAUCUCGUCAGUNNNNNNNNNNNNNNNNNNNNNNNNNNNNNNNNNNNNNNNNNNNNNNNNNNNNNNNNNNNNNNNNNNNNNNNNNNNNNNNNNNNNNNNNNNNNNNNNNNNNNNNNNNNNNNNNNNNNNNNNNUGGUGGUGACCUGGCGUCGUACACUGUGCGGCCUGUUGUUGGGAGUAGUCUUCGCCAGGUCUCAUGCUUUUACUUGCAAAAUAGCAACAGGAGAGACAGAAUAGCUUGCUCGUGAAAUCCCCAAGUCCUUGGAGAUAAGGCCUUUGGUCUGAAUGCAAAGUCAUCCCCUCAAGCCUCUUCCAAACGCUCCAUAAAUGUGGAAACAAAUAUGGAAAAGUAUACUAAACUAGUUUGACAACCUUAUCUUUUAAGAUCAGUGUAGAUUAGACAAGGUUAAGAUCGGUGCCAAAACGUACUGAAUCGAUCCAAACAAAAAAAUUCAGGUCUUUUUGGUUCGGAUAGCAAAUAGAAAAGUUUCUACCUUGAUUUGGUUUGGUUCGAUUUGGGUUGGGUUGGUUGCGGGUGAGCGUGGCCUUGCCCAUAUCUAGGAAGGGCCUUCAUGCCCUUGCCUGUGGUUAGCGAGGCCUUUGCGAGUUCAUCGUUCGCUAGUGAAGGCCCUUGCUUGCAAUUGGGGAUGACCUCAUUUGGGGCCUUCAUGGCCACACCAACCGAGGGUGAGGCCUUCGCAGCGGGCAAGCAACCCUCACCAGCAUUGAAAAAAAGCAAAAACAAAAGGAAAAGAAAUAUGCAAAAUAAAAAAUUCAAAAUAAAUAAAUAAAAUAUCAAGAAAUAAUUAAAAAAAACGAAGAAAUGUUAAAAAAAAUCCAUGUGGAAAGGAAAAUUGAUUAAAAAAAUCAACAUAGGAUGAUUUGCUCGAAAUGAUACUUAAAUAAUUAAUUUUACUUUGAUGUGGCAUUAAAGUGAGCGAAAAAUAAGUUAUGACACUCAAGUAAGAAUUGUAUGAAAGUUAUAGCACUCUUCCUAUUCUUAUUCUAGACAAAAUAUGAUUAGAGAGAGAGGGGACUUCUCUUGGGUUGAGAAUCAUUGUGCACCGUGCAGUGAAGCUGAAGAAGACAAGGGGAAAAAACCUAUAAAAAAGAGAAUUGACUAGAACUGUAACCGGUUUAGAUUCAGUUCUUGGGUCAGUUUGGGUCACGGUUUGCUUAAGUCCUUUGUAUUUGGUUCAGUUCGGGUAUCAUGGAUAUCAUAACCGAACUGAACCGUUCAGCCCUAGUUAAGACAUGGCUCAACUAAUUAAUCACCUUUUCUGAACAUGUUUAUUACCAAAAAAUUAAGAUAUUUAGUUUAUUAAAAACUUGGUUAGAUACAUGUGAAAUCCUCUAUGUGACUUUACCAUUUGUUAAAUAAGCAGUAACUGAAUUUUCGAGAUAGUGAACGCAAACUUAGGUUCCUACAAGGACCGACUGAAUAUGGAAACGAGAGUAUUGAAGUUUUACAAAGUUAAAUUUGUAAAGGGUUUUGCUAGUAUAAUAGUUUUUGGUCUACAUUGGGAAUAAUAAUUUAUUGUGAGUCACACAUUCUUGAAGGAAUGAACUCUAUAAUACUUGAUAAUUAUUUAUUAUUUGAUUUUUUUUAUGGUCCAUAAUAAAUUGUUAUUUUCACAAUAAAUUAUAUGUCCUUCUCUUGAAUGCUCGUUUGUAAACUUCUUCUAAUGCGACAUAAUCAAUAAAACUCGAAGCACGCGCUUAUGUCCUUCUCUUGAAUAGGCUUGGUUUCCGUUGAUCGACAUGUCAGGGGCCGGACUCUCUGCUUGUCCAAUGGAAAUCUCAGGGAAUUUCAGUACAUCAGGUUCUCAUUUGGCUUCUCAUGCAUGUACGGUUCGAAGUUUCAGAUCGACUGAUUGAGAAAGAGAUAUUCAAAUGGUGCACCGCGGAGCAAAGUGGAGUCACAUCAAGGAUAUGCCAAGUUCAUGAGGGCGUUAUUAGGGUGGUAAAAAAUCGGGAAAAGUACGAAAGUAAUCCUAAACCUUUUGUAUUGAUACCAAUUUAAUCCUAAAUUUUUUAAUUUGAUCAAUUUAGUCAUAAACAGUUUCACAUUGGUACUAAUUCAGUCCAUUUGGCAAAUUUAAGCUGGAAAAUGUUGACAUGGCAACCAGCGGUCUUAUGUGGCGCCACAUGGACAAAUAUUAUAAUUUUUUAUAUUUUUAUAUUUUUUUCCUUUUCUUCUCUUUUUUUUUUUCUUUUCUCAUUACCCUUGGUCGGCGAGGUUGCCGGCCGGCCGACCAUCACCGGCCACAAGCUAGUCGGGGCGAGGGGCCCCGCGCCCUCGCCGGCCAUAGGCGAGGGCGUUGGCCCCCGCCCAGAUCCAAACGAAGGCGUGGCAACGGGGCGUCUCGUUUCCUCUAGCUACGAAGCGUCUCUUCCUUCUCUCUCAAUCAAGCUCAACGGUACUCUCUCUCUCUCUCCUACCCGCACGCAUGCACACACGCUUCCUUCCAUGAGCAGUUGCGUCUUGCACGAGACAUGUUUGUGAGAAUGCCGACACGAGCUUCGACCACCACCGCUUCUUUCGCCGAUAGCUACAAGGCUUGAAAUCGCGGAGGGCCAUGCCCUCGCCUAGAUUUGGGCGAGGGCCGUCGCACCCUCGCCCGCCACGAGCGAGGGCUACCGCGCCCUCGCCUAGAUCUGGGCGAGGGCCGACGCCCUCGCCUGUGGCCGGCAAGGGCGUGGCAGCCCUCGCCAGUGGCCGGUGAGGGUGCGGGGCCCCUUGCCUCGACUAGCCUGUGGCCAGCGAUGGUCGGCCAGCCGGCGACCUCAUCGGCCAAGGGUAAAGAGAAAAGAGAAAAAAUAAAAAAGAAAAGAAAAGGAAAAAAAGAGAAAAAAAAGAAUUAAAAAAAUCUAAAAAUAUAUAUAAAAAAUUAUAAUAUUUGUCCACGUGGCGCCAUAUAAGAUCGCUAGUGGCCAUGUUAGUAUUCUUCGGCUUAAAUUAGCCGGAUGGACUGAAUUGGUACCAAUGUGAAAAAAUUUUAGGACUAAAUUGGUCAAAUUAAAAAGUUUAGGACUGAAUUGGUACUAAUACAAAAAGUUUAGGACUAUUUUGAUACUUUUCCCUAAAAUAUCUCGAUCUACUGUACUAGAAUCAGAUCAUCAGCUGAAUGUGGCCAUAUAAUGUGUGGCCUAGCAAUGCAAUGAAUCGGUAGGUCCCCUAACGUUUGUUCGUUUUCAGGCUGCUACAAUCGCUUAACCAUCAAUGAACAAGCAUCUUCUUGGAAGGGGUAACCCCGAUGCCCAUCGCAAUCCACCAUUGGAUCGGUGCGCAAGUGUUAGCGUGGUACAUGUCUCUCAUGCUCCGAGGAUGACUUUUCUACAAUAGUGCUCGUGCUCACAUGUGAGGCGCUAGCACUCCCACCUGACGCACGGGCUCAGUCCAACGUUAUUGGCAUGCUUUCGAGAUUGAAUGCAUAACCCAUUAAUUAUAAAAAUGAGCAUGUUUGCUUUCAUUGUUUAGAGUGUUAGUUUCCAUCGUACGCCCAAUUUUUUUUUUUUUUUCGUUGGGGGAAGGAACUUUGAGAAAUUUCAAAAGAAAUGAAAAUAGUUCCAUGUUUUGUGUCUUGGAAAUGUUUGAGAACAUAAAUUGACACCGUACCUCAAGUGCUGAAAUGAUAGGGAAAAAUGGAACACAAUGAAUGUAGAAUUGACACCUCCUUUUGAAUAAAGAGUGUGACGGAGAUGACACGUGAAUCGAUAAAUAAUAAAUCAUUCUUGUGAAAUAAAAUUUUUGAUGGGACGACCAUAUUAUUAUAUCCGAUCGAAAUUGAGCUUUUACUUGGAAUGCGGCAGUGCAUGCAACGGCCAUUCAUAAUCCCGUAAAUAGGUGAUAUUGCGGCCAUGUUUUGAUUACAGAGAAUUCCCAUUUGGGCGAUGCUUUAUCAACACUGCCCCAAAAGUCAAAACACAGAAACUCGUUUUAUAUCAUUACUAUUAUUAUUUUUUGCUAGGAAUUGUUUUAUAUCAUUAUUGGUAUGGAAAUGAUUGAGCUCUUGAAGUACGGGAUAAAAACUCUCUUACUAUUUGCUUUAAUUACGUACUUCUAGACUCGUUAAAAGGGUGGGUCGGAUUGGGUUUGGGUCAAGUCAUAAAAAGUCCGACCAAAAUAAAGCCAUUUAACCCGUUUAUAACUCAUUUAUUACAAUACAAAUUUUUUGACCUAUACCCAAUCUGACCUAUACUCGACUCAUACCCGACCCAUUUAACUAAACUUAAGAAAGCUUAUUUCUUAUAUAUAUUAAAAUGGUAUUGCUAAAAUAGUUUUAUACAACAUAAAUUUGAUGGACAUUUUUUAUAAUUUUUAAAAUAAUUAUUUUUAAAAAUCGAAUGUUAAUUAUUUUUAUUUUUUAAAUAUAACUUUUAAUUUUCUUUUCUUUUUCUUUUUUUUUUUCUUCUUCUUUGGCCCGGCCACAGGCGACCCUCGUAUGAGGUUAAAAGAGCAUAGACACCCGAGGAGGGUCUCCCAUUGUUGAAAAAUCACUAUCCACAUGUGACGUUGUCCCACGUACUUUUUAGUUCUAGGCAUUUAUUCAUCUUGUUUAUUUAGUAAGGUUUGACUAACCUUCUAGCCUUCUACGUUUAGCAUAAUUAAUUACAAGAGUUGUGCCAGAUUACCACUCUUCCUACGUGAAAAAGGGAAGGUCGGAAUUUCGAUUCCUUGACUUUUUAGAGGGGCCAGGAGUGGGUAUGUUUAAUUUUAAGUGCAGAGUUCGACUUCCACAUUCUACAAAAAGAUAGGGUAAAAUUCUGAGAGUGAGUUAAAAGUUAGAGUAUGAUAUAUAUAUAUAUAAGUUUAGCAUAAUCAACAAGCCAAAAAAAAAAAAACUCUUCAUUAAUUCCAUUAAUACACUGACUUGUUGUGAAGAAAAUCCAUAUAUAUGUGUGUAUGUGAAAGGUAGAUUCUGUUAUUUUUGUAUGAAAACAAAGUUCGAUUAAAGAUUUUGAUUAAUUCAGCUAAAGGGAACAUAGUCACGGAAAUCACAACAAAUUUGGUACUUAAUAUCAUAGAGUAAAGCAUAGAAACUAAUUUUUCAAAUCUUGUGGGAGGCAGGGAUCCUCCACUAGUUUUAUAUUGAAUCAUUCCAAGAAAUUAAUGACCGAACAAGUGCAAUUUGUUGCGAAAAGACAUGAGAUCAGACAAUAAUAAACUAGAAAAUUAAAAGGUAAACUAGACAUCGGAUUUACAUAAUUCUGGGGGUGUGAAUUACUCUAGGAAGUGAAGUAUCGGAUUUCAUUAUAGAUCUAGUGAAAGAAUGGAUAUUACAAACACAUUCAAGUUACUCAAACAUUUCUAGUAGCUUGUAUUCACAAUUAUUAAGGAAGAAAUUUCUCAAUAUUACAAAACAAUACACAAAAUUGAUAAAUGACAAAAAGGUUUCUUCAAUUUAGGUGCAAAGUGAACAAAACUCAUGAGAAUAAUUUUUCUACACAUUCUUGGCACAAACCAAGGCACAAAGCCAAAAAAAGAAAAGGAAAAAAACUAAUUAGAAAACUUAUAUUAAUCCCAUGAGACCGACUCCAAUACGAACUUGGGUUUCGUUCAAUGGUUUCAAUCUCAAGACAUAUUUAUCAACACAAACAAUGAUUAAUUGCGCACCCUGGUCAACAUGUACAGAUUGGGCACCCAUUUUAUUCCCGACUGAUUUCUCAAAAUCUGAUUUUUGGGCUAGACUUAUGUGGUUGCGUUUUGUUCGUAGAUUCCUCUAGCUUGGUUUGGCCUAACCCUGAACAAGCCCUCUAAGAUUUGGUUUCAAGAGAUAUUGUCGUGUUCUCAACGUAUGGCCGGAGACGGGACCCAAUCCCGAGGUUACUGUGCGGGGCUUGUCGUAAGGACCAAAUUAAAAAAGUUGCUCUCAAGCCCCAUCAACACUCCCCCUCGGACUCGCCUAUAUAAGUCGAAGGAUUGUGCUCAACAAUACUCACUCAUUCCAUCAUAGAACUUGUAGAAAUUUGCGAUCUCACAAAUCUUCUCAACUUUCGCUCACGCGUCAUGGAGUACGGAACACAACAAGCCCAGUUCAAACCAUGCCAAGCGAAUUUGCCCGAAGUCGUGGGCACGAUGCAUCAAAGAAGAACAGCCAAUUAUAAGCCUAACAUUUGGAAUUACGAUUUCCUGCAGUCGCUUAGCAGCAAACAUGACCUCGUAAGAUUGUAAUUUGUAGCUUCCGCACUAUCUUAUUGUUCUCUUUAACUCUAGCCAUCUCUUCCUUAUAUGAGCGAAUGGACAUUGGCAUGCAAUCGUGCAAUUAUUUGCACAUGAGACGCAUAUUGAUGUUUGAAGUAGUACUUUGCUCUAAAUUCAUUUGAAACAUUACAAUGCAUGUACCUAUUAAACGUAGCAAGCGAUGUUUUGGUCAGUGUUAUCAUAUGUAUCGGUCAUCACAUUCAGACUUGAUUUAUAGCUAUCAUAUGAUGUAACAAAACCAAUUCAUAUAGCUCUACAUAUGCAUGUACUAAAGUAAAAACAUCUAGGCAUUGCUCUAUAGAUUGAAUUAUUUGAGGCCUUUUAGGGGUAGAUUUUGAUCUAACAAAUAUGACUCAAUUCUGCAGAAAGAAGGAAUUAAGGAACGGAUGGAAGGGCUCGUGGAGGAAGUAAAGCGAAUUUUAUCGGAAGAAGUCGAUUCACUUGCCAAGUUAGAGUUAAUUGACAGCAUGACCAAACUGGGGUUGUCCAACCUUUUUGAAAAUGAAAUGAAAGAAGCUCUUGAAACAGUUGCAUCCAUCAACAAUGGUGUUUUCACCAUGGAAGAACAUCUCUAUGCCAGUGCACUUCGGUUUAGACUCCUUAGACAACAUGGCCAUAUCAUUUCGCAAAGUGAGUUCAAAAUAUGGACCUAUGUGAAUUUGUAGGUGUAAGAUGUUACUAUCAAAUCACCAAAAAAUAAAAUAAAAAAUCCUACAUACACUGAAGAUUACUAUACAAAAGUCGGUUCUUUUUAGAGAUAUUAUUGAAAAGUUGACACAUAUCGACUUCAAUAUCACUUGUUGAGAUUAUCAUUGAAUUUUUUAUUCAUCAUAUUGGAAAAGUCAUGCAACCCACAUACCUAUAUGGACUUGGGAUAUAUUUGGUUCAGCAUUUGAAGAAAGUCUUUAAGAAAAUACAAAAACUUUGAGGUUAAAGGAAUUUUUCGAAAUACAAGUACUGUUUGAUCAAUUGUAAUUUAAAAGUGCAUUGAGAAACAACUUUAGUUUAAACGAUAUUUGGAAAAGUCACACUUUGUAACUUACUUUUCUUUCUAAACUCAAAACCGGCCAAAGACUUAGCAGCCAGCGGGCAGCCGCCGAGGCCAAAUCUGGCUGUUGACGCUGGCAGCCCGUUGCGCGACCUGGAGAAAGGACAAAGAAAAUGUAAUUGUAGAUUAGACGGUGAGGAAAGUGUCGUCCCCAUAGUGGUAUGAUGAAAUUGGAUGCACAUAAGCCACUUAAAGCUCAUCGUCGUUAUUCACUCCUUUACGCUAAUAUUGAGUAUUAUCAUCAAUUAUUCUCGGUUCUGUCCGGUCAUAAAUCUAACUUUCAAUCUGUAAUGAGAUGAAUUAAGGAGCUUCAAAGAAGGAAGCAUCUUAUUCAAUAGAAGCAAUUGCGAAGAUGUUGAAGCUAUGAUAGAGCUUCUUGAGGCUUCACAUCUGGCUUUGGAAGGUGAAAACAUUUUGCAUGAAGCGAAAGCCUUCUCAACUGGUAUUCUUCGCAAGAGAGUCUCCAGUUUGGACGGUCGGCUCUUUAAACGCGCUGUACACGCUUUGGAGCUUCCGAUGCAUUGGAGGGUCCAGUGGUUCGACAUCAAAUGGCAAAUAAGCUUGUACGAGCAAAGGGAGGACAAGCAAAGCAAUCUGCUUGAGCUUGCCAAGCUAAAUUUCAACACGGUCCAAGCCGCACACCAAAGAGAUCUUAGAGAGAUAUCCAGGUAAUUUUAUGUGUAUUCAUAAAUGAUGUAGAAAAUGUAGUGAUUCACUUGACCAAGGUCAUCUAUUUAAAGGAUGUCAUGUUCUUUUUGCAACUCAUCUCAGGAUGAAAACAACAAACUCGGUCGUGAUAUAUAUAUGCUCUAAAUUCACCCUGGGAACGUGCCUAUUUUGAUGAUAUCUCUACCAGACAUUAUGUGAUUUUCCUAGCUUUUGAUUCUGAUUAGUUGCUUCGGUAAAUUCAGGUGGUGGAGGGAUCUGGGACUUAUGGAGCACGUGGACUUCACGAGGGAUCGGCUGGUCGAGAGUUUCUUGUGUGCCCUUGGACUCUCUCAGGAACCACGGUUCAGCUCGCUCCGCAAAUCUCUCACCAAAGUUGUCAUCUUGAUACUGGUGAUCGACGAUGUGUACGACCUUUAUGGUUCGUUGGAAGAGUUGGAAUGCUUUACCUGCGCCAUUACCAGGUUGUCCACGAUGCCUCCCAAUCUCUUCCUUUCGUCUCUGUUCAGUUUAUUUUCUCUAACUGGAAUAUCUAAUGCUUCUAGGCGGGACUCGGAACAGAUUCAACAACUUCCUGAGUGCAUGAAGGCGUGUUGUCGAGUGCUUAACGAUGUUAUUCACGAGAUCGCUUAUGUUAUUGGCAAAGAUGAAGAUUGGCAUCGAGUGCUACCACAUCUCGCGAAAGCCGUAAGAGAAAAACUUGUGGAUAAUUCCGUACAUAUGCACGUCACCCCAAAAAAAUUUUAUCCUUACAUAAUUGAUCAUCUCUGAAUAAGUAUUUUUUUUUCCUUAUUUUUUUACAGUGGGCAGAGUUUUGCAAAGCCUUACUUACUGAAGCAAAGUGGGACAAUAUGGGCUACACACCAUCGCUGGAAGAGUACUUGAGCAAUGCGUGGACAUCAUCUUCGGGACCACUGAUCAUGUCUCACGCUAGUUUCUUUGUGGGAGGGGGUGAAUUGGGAGGAUGUAGCAGAGGGUGCUGGAGAGAAACAAGGAUCUGAUUUAUAAUGUGUCCAUGAUAAUUAGACUCUGCAACGACCUUGGAACGUCGAGGGUAAUUAUCAAAUUUCUGCACUGAAGUUAUAAACCAACUGAAUUUGACAUGAUGUUAAGAAUUUGUAGCCUUCGAAAAAAACAUGGCAUAUGGUGUAAUUGAAUCAAGGAGAUCGAAUCUGAUAAGCACAUUAAAUUGAUUUACUUGUUCAAUUAGGCCGAAAGGGACAGAGGAGAUGCUCCAUCGUCGGUGGUGUGUUACAUGCGAGAAGCGAAUGUUCCGGAAGACAUCGCUAGGAAGCACAUCAAGGAAUUGAUAAACCAGGAAUGGAAAAGCAUCAAUGCUCAUUGCUACAGCAAUGCCGAGACGCCCUUUGUCCGAACCUUCAUUGAUGUCACCGUGAACGCGGCUCGCGUUGCGCAUAUGCUUUACCAGUUCGGAGAUGGGUUUGGCGUCCAGGACGGUGAUAUUAGGCGGCAAAUUUUAUCUGCAGUGAUCCACCCUCUCGCUCUUAACUGAGAUAGCGCAAGUGU
rnacentral:lncRNA from 1 species